rnacentral:lncRNA from 1 species
UUUAUAAAUUAAAUAAGAAGUAUUUUAGGAAAUAAAAUUCAAUAAGUGGUGUUGUCUAUUACGUUUCAGACAGAUCACCAAAACUAUUGGUGUGUUAAACUUCACUUACUUUCAAAUCUUAUUGAAGACAACAUGAAUUUGAUCCAACUUAAUGCUAGUUUAUAUGAUGUUGGUUUAAUGCCUAUGUUGGGGGUGUCAAUGCCUUUGCAUUCAACCAUUUCAACUAUAGACAACAGAUCUCUGAUGUAUUUUCUUUGUGAUAAAUAUACACAAUGUGCGUCUUGCGACACUUUAAUUCCAAGGAAAUAAGAUAAUAUUCCUAGGUCUUUUAAGGCAAAUGCUUUCCUAAACUGAGUUAUAAAACUUUUUAACUUUAUAGUACUUGGACUUGUAAUGAGUGUUUCUUCUUAUGAAAAGAGAGGCAUCCAAAUUAAUAUUAAUAAAACCCCAAUGCAAUAAACAGCUUUUCAGCUUAUCAAACUAAGCUCUAGGAACUUGUUUGAGUCUAUAUAGACAUUUGUACAAUUUGCACACAAAUUCAGGUUUCUCAGCAUUAAUAAAGCCUUCUGGCUAACACAUGAAUACCUCCUCAGUUAACUCUCCAUUAAAAAAGGCAUUGUUAACAUUAACUUGCCUUAUUUUCCAUUAGUUCAUCACUCCUAGGCUCAGCACCACUCUAAUAAUAGCUAAUUUAACCACUUGACUGAAUGUUUUAAAGUAAUUCACCCCUGCCACUUGCUAAAAUCCUUUUGCAAUAAGCUUGGAUUUAUACUUAGCUACACUUCCAUCUUUGUUAUACUUGAUCCUUCACACCCAUUUAUUGUCAGCAACGUCAUGACCAGCUUGUCUUGGAACUAAUGUCCAUGUAUUAUUCUUAAUCAAAGCAUCAUAUUCUUCUUUCAUAGCUUGCAGCCGUCUGGAGUCAUCUAAUGCCUCUUGCACAUUAUCUGGUUCUUUGUGAAUGAGAGUAUCAGUUGUUGUGUCUUUUUUUUUCAUUUUGUUUAUUCAAUAACCACAAAACUGAUGUUGGAGUAUCUUCCAGCAAAUUAUAUACAAAACAGAAAUGUAAGUACAGUAAUAUUAUAUUCUUAAAUUAUGUCUACAAAUACAAAGUAAAUUAAAAUAAGAUUAAUGAAAUAAUAAAAAUGUAAAUAUUAAUGAUAGAUAAAAAAAAUAUGGGAUAUGAUAGUAAUGCCUUAGUAAACAAUAUUAUAGUAUAUGGCAAGUCCAGCUAUUUGAAGAGAACUUUAAAACCAUAUGAAUCUCAAAAAUUACCAAAAAUAAACUUUAUUAUACACUAAUUAUUCCGUGCCAUUUUCCUGAGCACUUUUGUUUAUUUUAGGAACGCAUACUUAAACAAUCUGAUCAAGCAUGAAAGCAUUUUCGAUUCAUGGAAGGUAACAACUUUGGAGAUGAUAUUUUGGUUUUGUGGUAACUUAACAUAUAUAAAAUAAAAAUUGCCAACUGAAAUUGAAGAUGCAUGCUUACUGAAAUAUUCAGAGAAUACUAAGCUGGCUUCUCCCUUUAUUUGAGUUCACUAAAUGGAUCCUUGAGGUUAUGGUUCCUCAUCACCUCAACAUAUGCAGCAAGGCUUUGCCUUGACAUUGUUGCUACAUCCCUCUUUGAUGCAAAAAAAAUUUGAGGGGAUCUAUUCAGAUUAUGAGUGGUAAAGCGAUUCCAUUGGAUUGUAGUUUUGUCAAACUCCUCCAUAUAAACUGGGUGGAUAUCACACCUCUCACCUCCGAUCCUGGCCAAAACACACCCCUGAGAAGUUACAUAAUUUAUGAUUAUAGUCCUCAAAGCAUUUGUACUUUUCUUGGGAAUGAAUGGAAAAAAUAUUAUCUAUUUAUUACAGCCCACUGUAUGAUUUUAAAGUUUUCCCAGACUUUCCCGCACUUUAAAAUUCUGGACCUGAAAACUACUCUAUUUGGCAAUGACACAGUCCACAAAGCAUUUGUACUUUUCUUUGGCUACUAACGCAUGAUAGAUUGAAAACGAAAACGAAGCUAAUGAGGAGGCAUAUUCCAAUAGGCAUUAUAUAUGAUCAUUAUGUUUUUUCGGUGAAGGAUAUGUUGCAUGAUCUUAGGGAUUGGAUCGUUGAAAAAAGACUUUGGAAUUGAUUCCUCCCUGUGGCACAAUGCCAUCAAUUCUUUUCUCUUAAUCUAAAGGAAUGAACUUGUCAAAAUCUAUUGCGUAAAAGGCUGUUGGGUUCAAAUUUGAAGUGGAGUACUUGAGUACUUUGUUUGGAGCUUUGCAAGUUUGUUAGUGAACAUCAAGCUUGUUUGGCAUUGUUAAAGUCUUGAAAAUAUGACAGGUGACCUUCAAGUAGUUGGAAGAGUUAAAAAGCUCAACAAGGAAAAUUACAAUACAUGGGCAACAUUGAUGGAGUCUUGCUUACAGGGUCAAGAUCUCUAGGAGAUUGUUUGUGGUAAUAAUAUGAGACCACCAACUGAGGAUGCCGCUUUAAAGAAGUGAAGCAUUAUAGCUGGAAGGCCAUGUUCGCCAUCAAGACUACAAUUGAAGAAGAAAUGCUACAACACAUAAAAAAGGUUAAAAUACCUAAGAAAACUUGAGAUACUUCUACAAUGAGUUUUUCAAAGAAGAAUAACAUAUGGCUACAACUUUUGAAAAAUGAGCUACUAUCAAUUUCAUAAUGAAACAUGACGAUUGACGAAUACUUAAACAAGUUAAAGCCUCUAUGCUAUGAAAUUUCUGGGUUAGAUUCUACUGCUGUAAUUUCUAAAUUUAGAAUAAAGAGAAUUAUUGUCAAUGGGUUGAGGCUUGAGGCUUGAGCUUAAGAGCUUUGUUACAGCUAUCUAAGGUUGUCCAACUCAACCAACCAUUGAGAAUUUUGAAAACUUACUUGCUGAUCAAGAAGUAAUUGAUAAGCAAUUGAGUGGGGCCUUAGUAAUGGAUGAUGAGGAAGCGUUUUUUAUUGAUAACACUACUAGAAAAAUGUCUUUCACUGAUACUAAGUUGUUGAUACUAAAUAAAAAAGUAUCAGUAUUUGAUGACUUAAGUAACUUUUAGUGUAUUUUACAUAUUAGUGCCAGUGGUUAUUAAUAAUAUAGUAUCAUAAACUUUUACUGAUACUAACAUAUAUAUUUUUAAUUUUAAUUUUAAUUUUUCUUAUUCCAAACGACGUAGUUUUACUUUUAAAAUUAGGGUAUCUUAAAUUCAACACAUGUGAAAUUUUAUGGCCUUAACGAAUGUACUAUUCGUCUAUUCCCUCUUCAUCUUCCCUCUCUCCCGAAUCCUUCCCACUCAUUUCAAGAAACCCUAAAUUGAAACAAAACAAAUCACCCAGCCUUUUCAGUCUUAACAAAACAAUUACGGGGUUUUUAAUUAAAUACCCUUUAAUAGUUUCAAAAUUAUUUAAAUACCUCCUCCCUUUUUUGUUUUCAUAGAUACCCUAACAAAUGUGAGUAAAGUCUGAAAUGUCCCUAAUGAAUGCAUCAAAUUCACUCAACUUCAUUGUCUUUAUAUUUCUUUCACCCAAAUCUCUUCUUGUUGCCGAAAUUCUCUCAAAAUCUCCUAGAAUCUCUCAAAAUCUCUCAUAACUUCUUACACAAAUACAAUUAUAUAUUUAUUUUUUUUAACACCCACUCUUUCUUUAACUGAAAUGAAGUGCAUUACUCAUUAAACAACCCAAUAAGGUAUGUUAAUGUUGUUGGGUUUUAAGUUUUUUAAUCUUUAGGAAAAUUUAGAAAUUUUCCUCACAUUAUAAUGUUUUAUUUUCACCAUUUUUUCUUAUAUGUAGAAAUAUAUGCAAUGUAGGUCGUUUCAUUAUUUUUUUCAGCAAUAUAAUUUAUUUAUGGUGAAAAUAUUUCACGUCGUGCAUUCCUUUUGAUACUGUGUACGUCAUGUAAUUAGUCAUGUAGGUCAUGUAAGUAAUAUAACCGUGUAAGUCGUGUAGUUUAUGUAAGUAAUAUAGUCAUGUAGGUUGUGUAAGUCAUGUAAGUAAUGUAGUCGUGUAAGUCGUGUAAGUCAUGUAAGUAAUGUAGUCGUGUAGGUCGUGUAAUUACUUGUAUAUGAAAUUUGAUAUUAUUAUUUUUGUUGUAUCAUCAGAUAUGGUUUUGGUACGUGUGCCUAUUCUCUUCAAUGGUGAAUGGAUUGAGCAAAAUGAUAAGUAUGAGUUCAAAGGUUCCAAGGCUAAAGGGAUAAUGAUACCACAAUCGACAACAUAUGUCGAAUUGGUGGAGAAGAUAGCUCAAGUUAUUGAUAUAGACACGUCAGAAUUCGAAAUCACAAUGAAAUUCACGCUUAAGACAUUUGAUCGUAUGCCACCAGUUACAAUUCAAACCAAUGAUGAUGUUGAAUUUUUUUAGAUUCCAAUUUAAUUUCACUUCUUUUUUCUAAUAAUUUUCGUUGACAUUUUAUGACACCAAAUCGUGUGUUCAUAAAUUGCAGAAAAAAACUAAAUUUGCACAUCCGACAGUUUGAGAAAUGAUUAAAUUAAUUAGUAUAAAUAAACAAAGUUAUCAGUGCACAAAUUUUUCAAUAUUUGAAUAAGAUACACUAAUGAACAUCGCAAUUAAACAUAUUAUAACCAUUUAAAAAAGCUUUUUUUGUUUUAUCUUCAAAGUGCUUUCUUCCUCUGCCCAAGCAUACAUGAGGAAUGCAUGCAUAUAAUUAAUCCAUGAAAUCAAUUAAGAAAUAAACAUCAACUAUAGGAAAUUAAUGUAAUGUUAUACACAUACGAACACCAUUUGCAGUCGUGUAAUCGUGCAAUACAUGAAGGUCGUGUAAUCGUGCAAUACAUGAAGGUCGUGUAAUCUUGCAAUACAUGAAUGUCGUGUAGUCGUGCAAUACAUGAAGGUCGUGUAAUACACAAUUUUGAAUCUUACAUAACCUUACACGACCAAAUCGUGUGUUACAUGAUAAAAUUAUAAUUAGCACAAUCCAUUAAUUUUUCACAAUUUGCAUGCAGCAAAACAACUAAAAAUUUGUUUUUGAACAUGCUAUGAGAGACCCGUAACUAAUUAAUCUAUUUUUUCAAUAUAAAACCCUAACUUUUUGUUUUUGAACUAGGCUUCUCUUUCUCAGUUGUGGCAGCUUCCCAUUCUCAAGCUCAAUUUGCUCGUGUUGAAGUUCGAUUUAGCAUGUAUGGAGAAUGAAUGUUUGUUUUGGUAGAGGUGAUGCCGGUGAGCGAAUUGCAGAGGUGAUGCUGGUUGAUAUUCGAUUUAGCAUGUAUGAGAAUGGGGGAUGAAUGUUUGUUUGUUUGUUUGAGUAAAGAUAAUGGAGGGAAUUGCAGCCGAUAUGAGUGUUUGUUUGCUUGAGUAGAGGGGGGAGAGGUACUGUCCGUUGAGUUGAAAUGUUUUAAAAUGAGGAUAGUUUAGUAAUUUUGUAUCAGCUUUUAAAGGGUAUUGAUAAAAAUUUUGGCAAAAUUAAAUUUUAGGGUAUUGAGAUAAUUUUUUAAGUAUGGAGGUGUACCUGCUGCAAUUAACUCAACAAUUACUCUCAGUCUCCCAACAAAAUAAAAUCAUCCUAGUUUUACUUUAUGAAGCGUAUGGGUCUUGAUUCUUCGGUCACCACCGAAGACAACCAAAGGAUGAAAAAAGUCAAACAAGAUGAGGAGGAAUAAGAAAGAGGAAGAGCAAGUCAAAGAAACUAGCUUCACAAAUCUAUAUGAGAAUUCCCUGCUCGAGGUGUUGAAACACGCGGACACCAGGACUUCGUUGCAGGUGGCCUUGCGUCAACAAGCUAUGGCACAAGACACUCAAAAUGAGCACCUUUGGAAAUUAAUUUGCACCCACCACUUCGCUAACGUUGGGUGCACUGCCCAACAACUCAGAUCUGUUGUCCUGGCUCUUGGUGGCUCCCGUCGCCUUCACUCCCUCUAUCUCGGUGGCUCCCGUCGCUUUCUCUCUCUGCCAUUCUUUCUCUCACAGUCGAAACCAAAACUCAAAUCCCUAACUCCCCAGCCACAAAACCUCUCAUUUGCCUCAACAAAACAAAAUCAAUCCGUACUCCUUCUCUUUGAUUAUUCGAAAGUUAGAAGCACCUUAAAUAGUUCUCUCUGAAAAGCCAUUCACCCAAACCCUAACCUCACUAAUAAAAUUUUUAUUAAUAGUGAUUUUUUCAAUUAAUUAAGAUAUGGGUUCAUUGGCAGAGAAACAAAGGUUAGUGUUUGCUCUAUUUCUUUCAUCGAUUUUCUUUCUCUUUUUGAAAUUUUUCUAAUUUUCUCUUAAUUUCGACUGUGAUUUUAUUGUUUCUAUAGCUGUAGUUUGAUAAAUGUUUCUUGAUUUGAUGGAAAGCAUGAUUUAUUACAUGUCUGCUUGAGAUAAGCCGGUUAGUAAUUUGUUUUUUAAAUAAUUAUAUGUAAUAUUUGUUUUGAUUCGCAUAUCGUAAACACGAUGUUAUUGCCUACUAACUAAUUAUAGACUUCGAUUUACAUUCACUUAAAUAGGAUAUGAUUAUGUAUCCUUUUUUUUUUUUUUGGCUGUUUGCUGAUUGUGUUAUUUAUAGUGUUGUUAUUGGCGGUUUAUAUGGUGAGUAGGGCAGUAUUUUAAUUGAAACAAUUAAAGAUAUGGGGAAUUAUUAGGUAGAAAGUGGCUGCAGGAGGAGGUUCUCCUAUUGCAGUAUGCCUAAAUAGUAUUCAUUUUGCCCCUUUUUUUUUUACUGCUGACUAUUGUUCCUUGUGAAUGCGUUUCUAAUCCAGAGACUUCGCCCUGUGGUAUCCACUUUGAGAAACUACUCAUCUGCAACUAAACAGGUAAUUGUGCCUUUUAUAACUUAUUACUUGUAAUGCAAUGAUUUUGGCUGUAUGAUGAUUGUAUUCUUCUAUAUGUAUAGGCUUUUAUUAUUAUUAUUAGUGAAUCAGCUGAAUGCUUAAGAUAUUCUAAUACUAAUAGUUAUGUUCUUCAUUAUACUUACAAUGUAUGGAUUUUGAUGCAUUUUAAGAAGAAUAUGAAAUUAAAUAUUUGACUGUAGGGACAACAAAUAUGUUCGAGCUUUUAUUAGUAUAAUAGUAUGUGAAUUAAAAAUAUUAUAAUUUGAACAAACUCCGAAGCUUUGAAACUAUGCACUUUCAUGUUGCUAUUUGUGACAGUGGAUUUUGAUUGCUCUUUGUUAGCGACUCGCUUUUACUUGUUUGCUAAUGUUUAUAAUUCGUCCAUCUCAUUAUACUUGAAAGUUGGUGAUUCUAUGUAAUUUAUAAAUCCAACCGGUAUCUUCUUAUUUAAAUCCGUAGGCCAGAAGCAAAGCAAUCUUUUUAUGCAUUGGCUGUAUUAGUAAAUCACAUAGAUAAAAUCACAGGGUUUAUAUUGUUACUUAUUUCUUUUCUGUUUGCAGGAAAAUUCCUAGGGAUUUGACAGAGGCAUCACUAUCUGGUGCAGGAUUAUCCAUAAUAGCAGCCCUUUCUAUGUUGUUUUUAUUUGGAAUGGUAGGUUGCCACUUGCAUAGUUGUGCCUCUUUUGUCGGAUAUCAUGGGUGCAUUUUGCAUAUUCAGUGUAUAUUAUCGUCCACCUGGAUUGUUUGUGUAACAUGAUGCUUUCAUGGAGUUCUAUUUGGCUUUUCAUUGUUUCUAGAACAGAUUAAAUUUAACAAAAACUAUUCGCAAUUUUUCUGUAGGACCUGAUUUAAGACCCACUGGUUCUGAAUUCCACUCAAUGCUUGUUAUACAUUCGCUUAAGCAUGGAGAGGAAGCUGAUGAUGAUUCUGUUGAAGGUUCUCAUACGCUAACUGCCAAUAAUUUUGAUAGCUAUUCACAUGAGUAAGUGAGCCUUCUCUGAACCACAACUUAUAAUUUUUAUUUUCAAUUCUGUGAUCACAAUAUUUCUCUGCUAUGUGGCAAUUGCAAUGAUGCCUUCUUUGAUUUGUAUUAUAUUUCCUUUCCAGGUAUCCUAUUUUAGCUGUCAAUUUUUAUGAUCCAUGGUGCUACUGGAGUAAAUGCCUGGUAUUUUUAUUUUCACCUUUUGUUUCUCAAAUUUUGUCUUGUUGCUUUUUGAUUAUUGUUGUCUAGAUUUACCUUAUUGGAUCUAUUCUUUCUCAUGUUUGUGUUGAUGUAAUUGCCAGAUAUAAUAUUUUAAAUUUAUUCACUUGGAUGUCAUGUUUGUGCCUGCUCAUAUGCACACAUAUUAAGUUGAUUAACUCCAUUGCUCUGUGCGUCCACUGACAGUUGCACACAAAUUCCUUCAUUACUUUGGUUAACUCCAUUGGUCUCUGUGUUUGUGUUGAACUUUCCAUGCCUGUUAUACAACCAAGCAUGGGUUUUCUUUUGUUUGUUUGACUGUAUUGUUAGACUUCCCCUCAUGAUGUUGUUAAUAAUUUCUCCUCUUUCUCUUGGACAACGGUUAAAAUAAUUUUUAUUGUUAGUAUAAUAUGCUUGUCUUGCAUGCAUUUAUAUGCCAUUAGGAAACUAUGCAGAUUGCAGCAUGUAAAUUUUAUCAGUUUUUUUAUUGUGCAUGUCUUGAAUGGUGCAGGAUGACUUACAAUAAACCAAAGCAUGUAUAUGGGUCAAAACUAAAUAAUUAGAGCAAAUGUCAAAUUGGUACAUGGAAACAAUAAUAGAAGACUUCAUUUCGAUUACCGAAAGAAAGAAUCCGCGAAGCAAUAAACAUGUGUUGGAAGAUUGUGCUGUUACUAUAUAUCAGAUUAUAAAUUAUUUGUAGUUGGUAAACAAUGUAAUAAGUUUCAAACAAUGUAAUAAUUUUUAAAUUGUUCAUUGCAAUGUAAUAGUUUUCAUAUGGAUGAAUGUAAAUUUCAAUUCAAAUGCCAAUUGCAAAUUUUCAAUUUCUAUUAUAUGGAUUUCUAUUUUUUUUUUUAAUUUUUCUCAAAUAAACAUUGAUACCAAAUUAUCGUUAUAUUUAUUAUGCUUUUGUAUCAUUAUUUGUUUGAUACCAUAGUCUCAUUAUAUAUGUGAUGUUCAAGCAUCAAUAUUUUUUUGGUACUAUAGUGACAUAGAUUCGCUGAUACAAAAAACUUGUGUCAGUAAAUUUCUUGCACCGUAUUCAGUGACACUAAACUCGGUGUCAGUAAAACAAGCUCUUGAUAUCAAAAUAGUAUCAAAGAAGGCCAUUUUUUUACUAGUGUAAGAGACAUCGAUUCAGACAACAUAGCAAUGAAGUAAUGUAGGAAGUAUAUUAGAUAAAAUAAAUUAGAAUUUAUUAGGAAUUAUAAUAUUUGGGUAUUUAGUAUUUUAUUAGAAUUUAUCUUAUUUUUUAAACUUAUUCGAUCAUGUUUAGAAUUCUAAUCUAAUUAAGAUUUUAGAUUAUUUAUCUUAUUUAAGAAGGAUUAAGAUUAAGUUGGCUACUUAGUAUAUAUAGGCUUGUUACUGAUAGUUCUUUAUAACAUACAUAAGCUUCUCAUCAAUAAUAUUUAAUAUUUCUUAAUUGAGAUACUUUCUCCUUCGUGAGAGCAUUUUUUCUUGAAUUUUCAAGAACGUAUGUUAUAAUGAAAUUUAGUAUCGCUUAUGCGAUGCGUCAAGUGGUAUCAGAGCCUUUCUUUGUAUUAGGCAGAGCUUUCCUGACCAUCAACCAUUCCCCAUACACAAAUCCUCCCUCCAUCAUCCAUUACUUUCAUUAAAAAAAAAAAAAAAGAAGAAGAAGAAGAAAAAGUCAGAAAAAUAGCAAAACCCGAAGCCACCUCACGUCCACCAUCUCCAGCUGCUGCCUCUGUCAUUCUUCACCUUUUUCAUGCUUUAAUAAAAUUUAACAUAAUGCUCACUAUUUUGUAUAUUAUUAAGGACCAUUGUAUGAUUAAUCAUGAAGUGUAUAUUAUUUUUCACAUUAAUUUAGCACAACCUAUACCAUGAAAUUACGGAUUAUAUUACAGUGAAUACUUUUAUAUGGUAGGAAUAUAAAUUUAAGUUUUACAAGCCUAUUUUCAUUUAAUUUUCCAAUAUCACUUUGUUGAUUUCGUAAAGUUGAAAUUAACAUACAUUCUUAAUUAGUUAUAUAGUUUAUGAAUCAUGAAAGAUUUUUGUUGUUGAUAUUCAUUGAUUGUGGUUACAAAAUUUUAUGUCACUAAGAGGCUGAUUGCAUUUAUGAUGGUAAUUAAUAUAAUAAGUAAAUAUUACCUCCAAUAAUAUUCAUGAAAUAUUACCUAUUUAUUUUAUAUUCUCGUUAUAAAAGCAUGGUUUUGGAUAUUUUAACUUAAAUUUUGACACAAAAAAUGAGCCAUUAAUCUCUCACAAUCUAAUGGUUGAUAUUAAAAGUCAAUGUAAAAUUUUAAAUCAUCCACCAUAGUAACUGAAUUGUGUGAAAUCAAUAAUUUCAAUUUUGUAUUAAAAAUUUAAGAUAAAAUAACUUAAAAGCAAAAGGAUACCUAAACGCCCUUUUGGCUAUAAUACCCUACAUAGGUAGUAACUUUUAAAAAAAUUAACGUUAAAAUAUUUUUAAUAAACACAAAUAUACUUUAAAUAGUUUAUUUUGUCUAAUAGACUAAAAAUAAUGGAAUAUUUGUAAUAUGUAUAAAAUAAUUUUUAAAAUGUAAAUUAUAAUAUUAUUUUAAUAAUAUCUUUUUAUCUAUUAUAUAAUUUUUAAAUAAAUAUUUGGGUUAAAUAGAUUUUACAACUAAUAAAAAAAUCUCAUGUAUUGAUAAUAUUAAAAUUAUUUUAUAUAAAUUUAAAAUAAUUCGAAUCUUUAUAUAUUUAUUUUAAUAUUAUGUUUAUAUCCAUUAUAAAAUUUAGUUUAAUCUAAUAUAAUACUGUAAAGUAUUAAAAUAUUUUUUGAAGAUUAAAAUUAUUUUAAUAUACAUAUGUUUAUUUUAUUUUUUUCCUUUCGGAAGCGAAAGCAAGUCCAUGCCCGACAACUUGGGAGGAGAGGCUAAAGGCAAAAACUGGAACAUUUUUUUUUUAUGUGAUAAUUUCUUCUUUCUAUUAUAUAAUUUCUUUUCAAAGAAUUUGUUAUUUUGUUGCUUGUUUAAUGGUAAUUCGGCAAUUUUUUUUGAAAAAACAGAGUAUCAAUGACUCUUAGGUCUCAAAAGUGAUAAGCUAUCCGCAUAUUUUAAUAUUUAACACACAACAUUAAAUAAUUAGUAAUUCUGGUCUCGAGCCCCUUCAAGUAUACCAAACAACUCGCGCUCAUCGCAUCUAUGUACGGCAUCUUUUCCAGAAAAAACAGAGUAAUAAAACAAAGCAGAGUAUUUACUUCGGUCCUUUACUUUCCUUAAUUUUCACCUCAUGAGAAAUCAAAUCUCAAAAUUCAAAGCUUCGAUUUGAUGGGCCAAGAAUGCAAUUUUGAUUCAUGGAAGGCACAUUCUGAUUCUGUCCAACUUUUUUAACCCAAGCCAGGCAUUUUCUGGUAAUUUAACAGGGAAAUAAGCAGCAAGAACUGAUACAAUAAACAAAUACAAAGAAAGUAAAUGAAAUGCGAUCUGCAGAGAAAAUAAAAUUGAAACUGAGAUGCGCACUUACACUGUUACACGUAGACUCAGAGAAAAUAAUAUUCACUAGGCUGUGCCCUUCAUUCGAGUUGUUUAAAUCUUUUAGGUUGUGGUUCCUCAUCAUCAUUACAGCAGCCACUUCCACUAGCUUCAGCCGCCCCAACAUAUUCUUCAAGACUUCGCUUUAGAAAGCUUCGCUCAGACGACGUUGUUGAUCCUGCAUCAUCCCGGCGGCAACUUCCACUGCCUUCUGCCCUGUCUAAGUCAUCAUUACGGCUAUGCGUAAAGGAUGUUGAUCCUGAACAAUCGUGACCAAAUUCGUUCAAAUUCCAAACCGGAUCAGUUGUUUGGUUGAACUUAUCCCCUUGAUGCACAUAUAUUGGAUGGACACCACACCUCUUCAACUCCAAUCCUGACGGCGAAGAAAAUUCCACUUCACUAAUAUCUUCCCUAUUCUGGUAGUAUAGGAAAAGAUGGUCUGACAUAGCCUGACCGAAUUGCUUUCUCAAAUAAAUGCUACACAUACCCGAGGAGGUAGGCUUUCUAUCUAUGGACAGCUCAUGUACGGGAAGCCCUUGUAUAUAAUAAGGAAGUGAAUAUUUAGGGACAUGAAAAACACAGCACAUAGCAUAUCCCACAAGCUUACUAUUCUUAUACGUCUUUGGAGGCGUGCUUAUUGUUAUUGAAGAACCCUCAUUAUUCUGAUACUCGAACCACUCUGGGAUUUCACUUCCAGGAACAAUUAUGUAACAAUAUCUCAUAUAGUCCUGAAACCUCACAAAUAUAUAUAUAUAUAUUAGAAAGCCAUACCAAUGCAUAAUUUUUAGGCAUAAUUUUAGCAACAGGUGAGAGACAGUGUAAGAAACUGACAUUAGUCUGUUUAAUGUACUUGUCCGACAGUGACAUAUUCUGCAACCCCACGGAAAAAAAAAGUGAGUAAAUAAAUAAAAUAAAAAGACAUAACAUGUAUUGCAUCAGUUUUAGGCAUAAUGUUAGCACAGGUGAGAGUGAGAGACUGACCUCAGAAUUUUUAAUGUACUCUUUCAGCAGUGAAAGCGCCAAAUCAUAGUUGCCAGCCAAUUUCAAGCAAUCCACACAAGGAAGGUGUAAGUACGGGAGUUGAUGCUCGUUUAAAUUUAAUACAUCUGAUAAUGUCUUCAACGAAACACAACCGUCUAACGAAAUCCAAUGUAUACUGGCUGGAAGUCGAGGCAGAUUUUGAAGCAUUUUGCAUUCCUCUAAAUCAAUACUCGAAAGUUUAGAAAGAUGGUAAAUGCUUGCCGGCAGCGUAAAAAAAUUGUUUCCACUCAGAUGUAACUCUUCUAAUGAGCAUAAGUCGCCAAUACUACUUGGGAUUGCUCCUUCCCCUAGAUCACAGUCACUGAUAUCCAAUUUCGUUAAACUACACAAACCUGACAGAGAAGACGACAAACUCAAAGCCACCGGAUCUGAACUCCAUCGCAUCAAAUUGAUAGGGAAGCGCAGAAACCAUGAUGCAGAUGAUGGUGAUCCUUUGCACCCAUGAAAAGAUAGUUCUUUAAGAUUCUUCAUAAGAAAAAUUGACGAUUGAGGUUGCCUUAUAGCUGUACCACUUAUAUCAAGGAUUUCCAAACUUUCUACUUGCCCAAUCGUCUCAGGCACAUUUUCAAGUUUGAAGCAGCCUGAGAGAUUCAAAGUUUUGAGGGAUUUCAAACCAUUUAUACUGCUAGGAAGUCUCACGAGACUUCUGCAGUCAUUCAAAUUUAACAAUUCAAGUCUGGUCAAAAGUUCUAUUGAUGAUGGUACUUCUGCAAUAGAAGUUCCAUCUAAAAAGAGCUCUGACAGAUCUUCCAUACUUAUCACACUCUCUGGAAAUUUCACUAUUUUCGAGCAACCAGAGAGCGUUAGAGUUCUUAGACAUUUUAAGCUGCUUGCAGUAAUUGGAAGAGUCUCGAGAUUUCUGCAAUCCUUCAAAUUCAACAAGACAAGUUUGAAUAGAAGCUUAAUAGAUAAAGGUAGUUUUUUGAUAUCAGUUUCAUCCAAAAGAAGUUCCCGUAGACACUCCAUACUUCCCACAACGCGUGGAAGUUUCCUCAAUUUCAAGCAACCAGAAAGAACAAGUGUUUUAAGCGAUUUCAUAAAUAUCUCACCCGGAAGAGUUGUAAGACUUGUACAACCUUUCAAAUUCAACAAGAUCAGCUUAUUGUGACGUAGUAAAGACUGGUGAAUUUCACGCAACCUUGUACAUCCUUCAAGAUCCAACUCCUCUAAGUUUGGGACCUUUGUGAAGUCUGGUGUCUUAAUCAGAUUCUCUGAAUGGCUGAGUUUCAUGAGUCUCAACAUGUUUAAAGGCUGUUGAAAACAAAAAAGGAGCUAAAAUGAUAUUUCUUAAUUCAUAUACUACUAUAAUAAUAAAACUGUUAUCAACAAUUAUUCUCUCAAAAAUCUAAAUUUGUGACAAAAAAAAAUUGAACUUACUUUGAAUCCUUUCCAUAAUUCUUCAAUGCGGCUGUAACACAUUUUAAAUCCAACAAUUUCAUCCAAUUGCAAAUUUGAUGGCAAAGAUUUCAAAGGAUACCGACGCCAAUCAAGUAAUCGCAACCUGUUAGAGAGAUAUUCUAGGCCUCUAGGAAGUUGCACAUUACUGAUUUUGAGCAGUCUUAGGUUGGUCAUCUGCGAAAAUGCUUUAGCACUUGCACUUAAGUAAACCUCAUUUUCAGGAAAGUAGGCAUUAACUAUUAUUCCUUCCACUACUUCACCUCCCUAAAAAUUAUAAGCAAACAAUAAGUAGAUAAAACAAUAAUGUAAAGAUGUUGAAAAUUCGUCAGAGAUAUAAUUGGGAAAAAUAAAGUAGCAACCAUCAACAAGUUUUCCAUUUAAUAAUUCACUUACCGUAUUGUUUGUCAACACCUGGCGCACUUCUUCUUCCCUCCAUAUUCUGCUACGUUUCCCAGGUUCUUCGGGGGAUUGUCUCGUAACAAUCAGUUGUCCCAAUUCCUGUAACAAAUCAUGCAUCCCCAGUGUGUUGUUGUCAUCAACAGUUAAUAGAGACUUUUCGAUAAGAACUUCUAUUCCAAUGACUGGGGAAAAACCACAUCCCUCUAGAAUUUUUGUUACACCAUCUCUAUUCUUCCAUUUAAAGAAACAUGCAACAUCGAGAAAUAUUUUCUUCUCUGAAUCUUGUAGUCCUUCAAAACUUAUUUGAAGUAUACUCAUAAUCUUAUUUGAAGGAUCUUUUUUUAGUCUUUCUAGGGCACUUCUCCAUAGAUCUGCAGAUCUACCAAUUAGAAAGGAUCCCAAAACUUUUAGAGCUAAUGGAAGACCACCAGCAUACUCCAGAACACGUUUAGACAGCUCCACAUAUUCUCCCAUAGGCUGAUGGCUUUUAAAAGCUUUGGUACUAAAGAAUUGAAGAGCUUCAUCGUUAUUUAGUACAUCAAGGUCAAGAAUAUGCUCUUCAUCCACUUCAUGUGCCACCAACAACUGUCUAUCUCUCGUUGUUAUUAGAAUCCUGCUGCCUGGACCGAACCAAUCACGCCUUCCAACUAACCUUUGUAAUUGUUCAACAUCAGCCACAUCAUCGAUUAUGAGAAGAACUUUUUUCCGUUGCAGCCUACUUCCAAUUAUGUUAAUACCAUCGUAGACAUUCUGUAUGCUAUAAUCUGAAAGCUUCAGUAAAUCAGAAAGAAGCUGCUUUUGUAAAGAGAUUUCAUUGCCUUCUUUUUCAGAUUUUUCUCUAACAUCGGCAAGAAAACUACUCCCAUCAAACUCAUGAGACAUCAAGUCAUAAAAAACCUUUGCAAGAGUUGUCUUUCCUAGACCUCCCAUGCCCCAUAUCCCGAUCAUACGAACAUCAUUAGACCCCAUACCCAUAAGAAACCUCAGUUGCUCCAAGCGUGAUUCCAUUCCUACUAGCUCCUUAAGAAUCUCUGGUUCUAAACGAAUUUUACGAAAUAUGACAUUGGCAAUUUCCUCAAUAAAUUCUGACUCAUUGCUGCAGAUUGAAAACAACAAGAAAAGAUUGGCGUUGUUAAAUUAAAGUUAGUAUGAACGUAGUAGCAAAUCAAUUCCAUAUUGUGAAUAAAAUCCAAACUAUGCAAUAUUCAUUUCAUCAAAUUGAAGCCAUAUAAUUAAAUAAUAUGUUAUUAUUACAUCAGUCAACAACAAUUGGAAUGAGAAAUUCAAGCCCAACCCAAUAAAAAUUGGAUUGGGUUGCAUUGUGAUUGGUAAUUUCAAAAUUUAUAUAUUAAAAUUUAUAUAUUGUUUCUUUCUACAACAGGAUCAGUUAGUUGAAAAGACAAUUUAAAUCAAUUAGAUUAGCUAAAUAUGUAAUGAUAUUGAUAUCAUUCGUAUUGAGAUUAUUGCCAUUGUUAUUAUUAGUAUUUUGCAAAUCUAGGUCAAGAGUCAAUUCAUAGAAGAAAAUUAUAUUAAAAUAAAUAGCAAAUGACAAAACAGAGCAGUUUGCAAGCAAGGACGCGGAUAGAUUAAUCUAGGAAAUAAAUUGACUAAAAUUAUAAUCACAAGCUUAAAUCAUUAUAUUGAGAUGCCUAAGCUUGGGCAAUAAUCUAGGAAUAAAGUUUUAUUUUACUUUUUUUUUUUUUUGCAAAACUGAUAGCACAAAGCAUCGCAGCAUAAAAACAUUUAGUCAUCAAAAGUUCAAAAUACAAUAAUUCAACGUAUCAAUGUCCAUAUCUCUUUGUUUGCAGAUAUUAAUUCAUUUAUAAAUUUUAGAUUAUUCUCCUCAUGAUUUGAAUAUCUUCAAAUCACUCCCUUUUGAACACCUCAAUUACCCUAUUUUUGUUCAAAAGAGAAGGAAAAAUGGGGUGAGUUGAUGAAAUAUUUUUUUAUUCUUAACAAAAAUGGGAGGUAAAUUGAGAUUUUCAAAAUUAAAGGUAUAAUUUAAAGAUAUUCAAUUCAUGGGAGGAACCCUCUUCCUACACAUCAUAUGAUAUAUAUAUGUAUUAAAUAGAAGUUGUUUAAUUGAAAACAGUGUUGAAUGAAAAUCUGUUUUGUAGUUACUAAUCUUGCAAAACAAACAAAAUUAAUAGUUGAGAAAAAGAAUGAUUACCUAUCCUUAAAUUCCCAACCUGAUAUAUUGGCCACCACCUUUAAAGCGUGUCUCCACUUUUGCACUUUUUCUAUAUUAUCCUUGAAAAAUUCUUCAUGUUUAGCAAAAGCUUCUCCGAAACAUGUUGUUUGUUUUCUUACAACAGUUGGUUCCACUUCAUAAAAAAUUGGAAAAAUUUGAUCCUCUCUAUUUUUGCAUUCAACAAUCUUAAGAAGUUCAUCCAAGCACCAAGUGGAAGAAGCGUAAUUUUUUGAGAGAACAAUAAUUGAAAUUCUUGAUUCUUCAAUUGCUUUAAGGAGAUUUGGUGAAAUGGAUCCUCCUUUCUCAAGUUGUUUGUCAUCCCUGAAUACAUAAAUUCCUUUAUUGUUCAAAGCAGUGUAGAGAUGACCUAUGAACCCUUUACGGGUGUCUUCUCCUCUAAAGGUUAAGAAGGCAUCGUAUUCCCCAUGAGAGACAUUUUGGAAGCUCGUGGAAGCCAUUAUAUUAAUUUGUUCCUGAAAAUUUAGAAUAAAUCAAGUGAAAUCCAGUGAGCGUAAAAUACCAUGCAAACAAUAAGAUUCAUUCAAGAUUAUGGGCAGCACAAAAAUGAAAAUGUUAUAGAUUAUAUGUAAAUUCUACUUUUUUUAACCACCUAAAUGGUAACUCGAAUGAAUUGUGAUUGUAACUAGUAUUGCGUGACCAGUAUUGUAUAAGCAUUAAUCCGUGCACAGUAAUUUUAGGAGUAAUUAAUUAGAAAAAUUAAUAUAUCUAUUGUUUUAAUUUGCUUAUAGAUCUAAAUUAUUUACGCAUGAUAAAUCCCCAAAUGUAAUAGAAAUUUUUUCUAGAUGCUAAUCGGGGAUGCGCACACCGAUCUCUACUUAAGCAAAUCUUGAUUAGAGCCUCUAAAAGAAGGCAAAGAGUUUGUACAAAAUUAACAUUCAAAGAUUUCUUUCAAUUUUUUCAUUUUUUUCUUUUUCUGUACACUAAGAUGUGCAAAUUAAUUCUGAAAAUAAAAGAGAGAUUUAUGAGAUAGAACUUACAGCUUUUGAGUGUAUUGAAGGAAGCCACUUAAAUGAACUCCAAUGCAGUAUGAUUAUUAUAAUUACCACAAACUCCAAUGCAGUAUUUGUUUCAAAGAAUUUAUUCAUGCAAAUAUCUUUUGGGAAAAAAAAUAUUAAGCCAUUAGGAGUUGUGUGGUUGUACUAAUGUAUGAUUUUCCAAAAGCAAGUCUUGGUAAGAAAGUGACUUUCUUAAUAAUCAAUAAAUAUUGUCACUGUUUACUCACAUGAUGAAGUUAGCAUCGAACUUCCUGGAAGCUUCAAGAAUCUAAACGAAAAUUAUCAGGCUUUUCAAUUGAAUACGCGUCGUCCCCAUUCUGCCCAUUAGCCGUGUUGAAGCCAUUAAAAUGGAUUGGAAUCCAACGGUUGAUAUUAGUAAUUAAUUAAAAAUAGUUAAAAUUACCAGCAGUCUAUCGGAAUGGUAAACAUAGUGACCUUUAUUAGUAAAAUUUUAACGGAGUCCAAAUAGGUAGGGUUGGACAAACUCAAUCCAACCCAAUCUAAUCAAAUUAGAUUUAGAUGGAUUGAUUAGAUUAUAAUGGGCUAACUGACUCAAUUUUUUUUUUUUUCAAUUUGAUUAAUGAUUGAGUUAGGCUGGAUUCAUUAUCAUAAACUCGAAUAAUUCAACCAAACCCAAAAACAACAAAAAUCAUAAAAAAAAUUAACGUUCGGCUAUUAACUAUUCAAUCUUAAACCCAAUUUUGAACCCUAAAAGAGAUCUUGUUCAGUCUCUCUCAUUUAAACAUGAUAUUAAUUGAAUUCUCUAGACUAAAAUUCAAAAGUCAAAUCAAACUUUGACUAAAACUAAGUUGAUAGAUAUUCAAACAUUAAGUUAUAUUGUUUUAUUGACAGAUAUUGGAUAUAAUAGAUAACAUUUAAUGAUAUGAUGAAGAAUUAAUAUGUUUUUUUUACUAUUUGAAUGUGAUUUUAAGUACCAAAUAGCUUUUUUUCUUUUAACUUUGAUGUUUGAACUUUUUUCAUUUUUAAUUUUAAUCAAUUCGUUUGACCCAGUCCAAUGAUUUAAGGAUAAGAUUGGGUUGUCGUCAUAUUUAUUUGGUUGGGGAACUAAUCAAUAGUGGGUUGGGUUGGAUGCCCACUAAAGAGNNNNNNNNNNNNNNNNNNNNNNNNNNNNNNNNNNNNNNNNNNNNNNNNNNNNNNNNNNNNNNNNNNNNNNNNNNNNNNNNNNNNNNNNNNNNNNNNNNNNAAAUUAAAAAAUAAUAAUAAAUUAUAAUUUCUUCCACCAAUAUCAAUAAUUAAAUAAGAUUUAAUAUUAUAUCAACAAAAUAUGUUCAACUUAUGUUUAAUAAACUCCUAUUAAUUUUCACAAUUAUCCGUAAUUGUUGUGGGAUUUACUUUUAUCGUGUUUAGAACAAAAGAAAAAUUAAAUUUCUUUAUCAUAGAAAUAUGCAAAAUCCAUACACUGAAAAAAAAAAAAAGGUAUGCGAAACUGUAAUUACAAUUUAGAAGCUUCCAGUAAGAAUUGAUUCAACUUAUAAAAUCUGUGUUGUUUAUAAUUAAUAUAUAUACACCCUGAUCAACAAAUAUGGUAAAAUAUUAUUUAUCGAGAUCUAAAUUAAAAAAAUCUACAAACCUAAAGAUUCAUCGAGACUUACGAGAUUCAAGGAGAUAAAAUUAUUAAUGAUUAGUGUUAAAAAAGAGAAAAUAGAGAGAAAGAGAAAAAUAAUGUAAUAUAAUUACUACGAUAAUUUCUUUUAACAUGAAAUUAUCGAACAACAAAUUAAUAAUCUUCUUCUUAACUAAACAAACUAAUUAAAAGCCUCUCAUUUACUUCCAAAAUAUAAUUAAAAAAGUUUGUCAAAUGCUGAUUGGAGAGUGUGUUUGCCGACCUUUACUGAAGCAAAUCUUAAUUAGAGCCUCAAAGAGAAGCAAAUUAAAGGGUUGAGACAAGACAAAUUAAAUUACCAUUCAAAGCUUUCUUUCAAUUUUAUUUAUUUCCUGUUCUAAACAUCCAGGAUGUGCAAAUUAAUUCUGAGGAUAAAAGAGAAAUGUAUAAAAUAAAACUUACGGCUUUGAGUGUGUUGAACGAAGCCACCUAAUUGAUCUGCUCAACUCCAAUGAAGUGUUUUGAUUCAAAGGAAAGAAGGUUAAUCAGGCAAAUAUGCAAUUUCCAGCUCCCCAGAUUUAUUUGUACGUAUUCUAAAAGUAAGUCUUGGUCAUCUCAGAAAGUGGGUGGGAAAAAGCAAAAAAGGCCAAAGGAAUCUUUUUGACUACUUCAUAUACGUCUUGUGGGGUGGUUUUUUGUUUUUUGUUUUUGUUUUGGUUUGGGGAGAUAGGGGGGGGGUUCUCCGGGGAAUAAACCGGGUGUAUUUCGCAUGCCGCGUUAAAAGAUUGUAUUUGAGAUAAAAUAAAUCUUAAAGUUUUGAUUGCACAGGCAGCUACCUGUUGAAUUUCAAUGCAGUAUUGCUUCAAAGAAGCUAAGUUAAUCAGUGAAACAUAUUUGUGCAUAUGACGAUUAAAUAUGAAUUAUGUAGAUAAAACAUAAAACAUAUGAAUUUUAAAUUAAAACUUAUAAAUCAAUAUUAAAUAUAAAAUAAAACAUGGAUUGUGUAAUUAAAAUAUAAAACUUCUAAAAUAGAAGGUAAAAUAAGUAAAUUAAUUUAGAAGUGGUAAAUUAGUAAAUUAUGGGUACAUAAAAUAAAAAUUUAUAAAUAUAACAUAAAACUUGUAAACCAACAUUAUGUGUAAAAUAAAACAUAAGAUUUGUAAAUAGAAGGUAAAACAAGUUAAUUAAUAUAGGCAUGAUAAAUUGGUGUAUUAUUAUUAAACAAAACAAAAACUUACAAAUAUAACGUAAAGCUUACAAAUUAAUAUUAAAACAAAAACUGAGAAACAUAAUAUAAAACUUGUAAAUCAAUAAUAAGUUUAAAAUAAAACAUAAAUUAAGCAAAUGAAACAUGAGACUUGUAAACAGAAGGUAAAAUAAGUAAACUAACAAUAUAGGAGUGGUAAAUUGAUGUAUUAUUGGUAAACAAACAAAAACUUAUAGAUGUAACAUAAAAUUUUUAAAUUAGCAUAAAGUGUAAAAAUAAAAUAUAAAUUAUGUAACUAAAACAUAAGAUUUAUAAGAGGAAAGUAAAAUAAGUAAAUUAAUAUAAGAAUUAUUAAAAAAAUAAAAAGUUACAGAUGUAAAUUAAAAAAGAAUUAUAAUAAUGAUUCCCUUAUAUAUUUACUAAUUUUGUCUCUAAAUUGAAUAAUGAUAGUUUUGGGCUUAUGUAAUACAUGUGAUGAUAUAUUUAAAAUUUUAUUAAGAAUAAAACUCUUUUUAUAUUUUUUUAAAGUUGUUUUGUAAGAUAAGGUAAUUUUGCAUCAUUCUAAACCUCCUCGGCAAUAACUCAACGGUAUAAGAAGCAAAGCUUGAAACUAUAUAAAGUAUGCAUAAAACUGAAAAUUAAAUCAAUUUUAUUGAUAUAUCAUAUAUGUCUAGUACUAUAAAAAUAACUUUUAUUUUGUUUUGGCUUGAUCUACAUUAAGAAAAAUAAUUUUGCUUAAUUAACCGGUGUAGUAAGCAAAUAUGAUGAUUAAAAAUGAAAAAAAUUAUAAAUGUCUUAGGAUAAAUAUAGAAUUCAUGGUAUUCAUUAAAAUUUAUUCUAAAUUUGUUUUAAUAUAAUUUUUUCAUUUUCAAUUAAUAAGUGAUUUUUUUGCUUAAUAAGUGAUUUUUGCUUAAUUAAAAUAAAUAAAUCAACUAUUUUCUAGUCUAGUUAAAGUUUGAUGUUGAUUUAUAAGUUUUAUAUUAUUUUUACAAGUAUUUUUUAUUUUUAAUUUUAAAACAUCAAUUUACCACUUUUGUAUUAAUUUAUUUAUUUUAGUUUUUUUAUUAGUUAUAUGUGUAAAUUAUAAAAAUUUAUAUUUAUUACGCAAUUAAUUACGAUGUGAUAGAUUUUUCCUUGUGCACCUAUCUUUCAAGGGAAGGCAGAGGACUUUUAUUGAAUCUGGAAAAUUAAACCGAUUACACGGUUUCCAGCUCCCAGUUGUGUUGAAUCUUGGUCAAAAAGUGUGACUCUUUAAGUAGCGUUUACUUUUUGGAUUGGAGUGGGAAUCCUAGGAUUCAGAGUGUUGAGUGGGAGUGUGAGUAGGUUGUUUACUUGCACUGGAAUAGAAGCAUGGAAUGGAGAUCAGAAUCCAAUUUAUGUGUUUAUUUUAUUUUGAAUUGAGAGUAAAUAGUUUCAAAUUAUAAUUUUAUCCUUAUUUAAAGAAUUAGAGUUUUUAAUUACAAAGUUAAUAAAAAAUAUAUUUAAUGAAUAAACAUUUAUUUUAUUAUAUUUGUAAAUUUAUAAUAAUUAUUAAUAUUCUUAAUUAUGAACAUCACAAUUUUUUAUUAAUUUUAACUUUAAUUAUAUAAAUUAAAAAUUGUUGAUAAGGGCAAUAUAAAUGAAAUAUUUUUACUAUUAACAUAGUAUGAAAUUAAUAUUUUCUUAGAAUAAACUAUUUAUUAGUAUUAAUUAUUCAUAUUAAAUAAAUAUAAUACUAUUAUUUUUAAAUAAAUAUAAUAAUAUUAUAUUUUCAAAUAAAGAUGGUAUAUAGUAAUAUUAUUAAUUCUCUAUUAAUAUAGUAUUAUUAUUUUUAAGUAAAUUAAACUUAGAAUCAAACCCAAUUAUUAUUUAGUUAAAUAUAAUAAUAAUAUUUAAAUAUUUAUUAAAUAUAAUUAUAGUAAAUUUAAUAAAAAGAAGGGUAAAUAUAAAAUGCAACAUUAUUUUAUUUUAUUUUAUUUUACAUAAUUAUAUUAAUUCAUUAUUUAUUAAUAUAAUAUUAUUUAGUACAAAAUUAAUAUUUUCUUAGAAUAAACUAUUUUUAUUAUUAAUUAUUAAUAUUAAAUAAAUAUAGUACUAUUAUUUUUAAAAUAAAUAUAAUAAUAUUAUAUUAUUAAAUAAAGAUAGCAUAUAGUAACUUUUAUUAAUUCUCUAUUAAUAUAAUAAUAUUAUUUUUAAGUAAUUUUAACUUAUAAUCAAUGUAAAUUAUUAUUUAGUUAAAUAUAAUAAUAUUAUUUAAAUAAAGAUAAUAUAAUUUAUUUUAUUUUUGGAGUGGGGAGUGGGAGUGGGACUUCCAUAGGGAGAGGUGGGAGUGGGAUUCCCAAUCCUUCCCCAAUUUGUUGAAGUAAACACUAGAAUUGGAGGAAUCCACACUCUUCACUCCCACUCCAAAAAGUAAACACAACCUUAGUCUUUACCCUACAAUAUGAAACUACCGUUCAAUCAAACUUUCUCUCAAUGAUAAGUCUCUUUAAUUGAAAUUACACGUCGUCGCCACUCGGCCUUGUUAGAGAGCAAUAAUGUCUUCAUCUGCUAAUGUUCUAAUAAUUUGUAAUAAUUAACUCAUCGACUAUGAUUCUGCAAAGAUAUUCAGCUGUAAUCACUUGCUUCGGAUUCGUGUAGGUUUAUCUUUAAUAUUAGUAUUAAGCCUUUGCUUAUCAGCUUAAGCUUUCCGAUUAUAUAUUGGCAAAUGGGAGCUUGUUGUGAGCUGAUAAUAAUUAAAGGAAGUUAAACCAUUUCCUUCGAGCCUCUGUAGUGUAGCCUCCACUAAACUUUGUUAUUUGCUGGUUCUGUUCUUAGUUGAACUUUGCUGACUUUGUAAUUUGUAUGCUUAUUGCUAAUGAUCCUUGCACUUUGCUGCUAGUGUAACGUUGAUUCCAUCGCUGCUGUUGCGCUUACUAGCUAGGAAUUCCACGAACAAAUUUCACAAAAGGUUUGUUGAAAUUGUUGAAAAGGCAAAGAAUGUCUUGCAAAUUUCAAAAGGCAAAGUUGGUGGGUUUGCCAAAUUAAAAAAAGCAAACUUGGUUGGCUUGCUAAUUUCAAAAGACAAAGUUAGGUGUUGAAAAGCUUGUGCAUGCAAUACAAGAUCCAGCUCAAUGUUUUGACCAAUUGAACCCAACUUGGAGCAUAAUGCACUCUAUAAAUAGAGAAGUAUUUUGCAAUUGUAAGCAUCCCAAUUUGAGAGAAGUAGAGAGCAAUUGCAACUGAGUUCUUUGAGAGAAUUUGAGAGAGCUUCCACUUGAGUGUUCUAGUGAGGUUCCAUUUGGGUGUAUUCGGGUUGUGGGUUUUGUGAGUUUUUCCCACUUCUAUAAAUUUCCAUUUGUUAGUAAAAUUAUCUUCUAGUUUUUUACCCGUGAACGUAGGCAUUACGCUGAACCACGUAAAUUAUUGUGUUAUAUUUUCUUUGCAUUUGUUUAUCACAACAUUUAUAUUUCUCUAGAAUUUGCAGUAUUAGUAAUUGCUCAACCCACGAUUCUGCAACAAUUAGUAUCAGAGCCGAUGGUUCGUACUUGGGGGGAUACGAUAUUUGAAAUAUAAGUGUGCAACCCAAGAGGGGGGGUGAAUUGGAAUUUUAAAAAUUAUCCUAGCAAAUCCACACAACAAGCUAUCUAAUGUCUUAAUAAAAAUUGAAAGCAAUAAGUUCAAUAAAAGCACAAUAAUUAAAUAGUAAGGGAGAAGAGAAACAAACACACGAAUUUUUACGUGGUUCGGCAAUCCCCGCCUACGUCCACGCCUCUAAGCGAUCCAAGCUUGAGGAUUUCACUAUCCAAGGUUUCAACCGAUUACAAUUGACUUUGAGGUGUCAAUAAACCUUUACAACAAAGAGAUUAUAUCCCAAUCUCUUCACUCAAGUGUCUCACACACUCAAACUCUUACAAUUGAGAUGAAUAAAUGAAGGUUACAAUAAAACUCACUCAAUGAGUAGAUAUUCAAAAAUGAAGAACAAGAAAUGAUUCAAUGUUUGUAUUUUGCAAGUUUUAAGGCUUAAGAUAUCACGUGUGCUUUUUGUUUUUGCUUAUUGGAGAAAUUCAAAAUGAGUUGGAUUUGAGUUCUUAUAGUUUGAGCUCAAAAAUUAGCCGUUACUCACAUUUUGGGCGUAUCCGGUUUGCCGUUUAUGGAAUCCGAUAAGCCGGAUUUAUGUUACCGUUUGAAUUUUGCCUAUCCGGCUUACUGGUUACGAAAUCCGGUAAGCCGUUUGCAUUCUGGAUGCUUACUGCCCCAUAUCCGAUUUUCCAGUUUUUAUAUCCGGUAAGUUGCUUGCUACAGUAACUUGGUACAGUGAAAUUUUUCCUAAAUUUUUAAUUUGACCCCCAAACUUUACAAAACUGUAGUAUGACCCAAAACGUUAUAAAAAUUUACAAAUAGGUCCAAUUUAAGAAUUUCUAAAUAAUGCUUCGUUAAUCCCAAAAUUUUUUGAAAUUAUGAUUUCGCCCAAACUUUGUGAAAUUAUAGAAUGGCCCAAAAUGUUAUAAAAGUUUGCAAAUAGAUCCAAUUUCAGAAUUUCUAAGUAAUGCUUCGUUAAUCCCAAAACUUUUUGAAAUUAUGAUUUUGCCCAAACUUUGUGAAAUUAUAGAAUGGCUCAAAAAUAUUUAAAUAGUUUCAAAUAGGUCCAAAUCCGAAAUUUAAAACAUUAUCAAAUAUUUUGAAAUUUUAGUCCAAAAUGCUUUAAUUCUAUAACAUCAUUUUCUUAUUAUAAAAGCACAAUUCAUAAAUCUUUGCUUAAUAAAUACAUGUGGUUUGUUAUCAUCAAAAUCAAUAUUUAUAACCAUAUAGGCUAACAAUCUCCCCCUUUUUGAUGAUGACAAAGCACAUUCAAAUUUAAUCUAGUUAUGAAAAGCUCCCCCUUAAUCAAUGCAAGUUAAAAAAUGAUUUGAAAAUUAUUUAACAAAAACUCCCCCUGCAUACAUGCUCCCCCUAGAUACAUGCAUAUUUUCAUAACACAUUAAAUCAUUCUCCCCCUUCAUCAUCAAAAAGAAUAAAGGCUCCCCCUAUCAAUCAUCAAAAUCGCAACAUAAGCACAUUAGUAAAAAAAAAUAUCCAUAAGCAUAAGAAAAUCCAUAUAAUCCAUAAUGAUCAAUCAAAACAAAUCCAUAACAUCCAACAUAAAUAGUCACAACAAAUCCAUAUAAUCCAAAACAAAGACAUAAAUCGAAAAGCAUAAUAACCAUCCAUAGAUUCGAAAAUAAACAAACACACAAUGCAGUAAAUGAAAUGUAGAUGUGUCCAAGUACAAGCAUAAGAUACUACUCAGGUGGUGAGGAUGGAGGUGAUGGAGGUAGAAACGGAUAUGGAAUGCCGAAGUGCUCGAAGAGGAGGCACUGUCCAUGAAUAAGCUGCUGCUGCUGCUGCUGAAACUCAGUUUGCCGCUGCUGAAACUCAGUCUGCCGCACAGAGAGUGUCUACACUUCAUCCAUAAUCUGCUGAAGAGUGACCUCUUCAGAGGUAGGAGGAUGUGGAGGUGAUGAAGCGGAUGCAGAUGCACUAGGAGCUGAAGCAACCGUGGAAGAAACUCGGCGUCUACGCUCCCCUCGAAAUGAGAGUGAGAAAACUGGAAGUUGUUCAGCUGGAAUCACAGCAUUAAGUGGCCGAUCAUCACUUGGGGUUAGAAGGGUAAACUUGUUAUCGCUGUAUUUGACCCAAGUGUCAUCCUUCCACUCAAAGCCUAACCCAAUAAUAACCUCAUCCCCGAUACCCUUGGACGGCCUACAAGAUGGUUCUAGAAUCUGUACUUCAAAGAAUUUAAGAAUUCGGGUAAUGAAGUGACCAUAAGGAAGAGAGAGGGUAAUCAAGGCGGGAAUGCUCAACAUGGUGCGGAUGAUGGAAUAGCCCAAGUUAACCGGGCGACCUCUAAGAAUACAGUCAAUCAUGGCGACAUCCAUGUGAGAAACCUCAUCCAAAUGUCCUGAUCUAGGAAGUACAAUGGACUGGAUGAUACGAAGCAAAAUACGAGUUUGAAGACAAAGACACUGAGUACGAAAAUGAAUGGUACAAUCUUCAACAGAAAGAUCACUACGUCGACAAAUAUUACGAACGGCAUCAACAUGAACAUAGUCAUCAAUAUCAGGAGGUUUCCUAGGAGAAAAAAUGUCCAAGCCAUCAUCGGAAGAUCCUAGGAUGGAGUUCAACUCCGAAUCAUCAAAUUCAAUCAAAACUCCUUCAACUGUGGUGAUUACUUGAUUCUCUUUCUCCGCGGAACAAUCCAUAUUCGAGUAAAAUACUUUCACCAAGUCGGGAUACACAUUCUCCUCAAUCAACAAUGCAUCAAUCCAACCAACAUCUCCCAACAAUUGAUAUUUCUAUAACUAAUCUUGAGAGUAUGCAUAACAUCCGGUAAAACAAAGAAAGUGUUGAGUACCUCACGAGUCCGAAAGUUUUGUUGAAACCGUUUGAUCAAGUGUUGCUUGUUCUGAAAAUGAAUGGACUCAAAAGUGGAUUGAUUUGAGGUGCCCCUUGCUUCCCGUGGCCGGGUGGUUUGUUGAACCGGUUCUUUGCCUUUUCUUCGAACCGGCCGAGAGUUUGACAUUUUGAUUUUGAUGGAUGUGAAGAUAAAAACACCAAAGAGAAUGAAGAUGAUGAAGAUUGAAAGUGAUUUAGAGAAACAAAUUGGAUCAAAAACGGCUUGAGAGUGAGAAAUCUAGAGAGAGAAAAAUCAGCCAAAAACCUAGGUUGAAAUUCGGAUCUAGGGAUUUGGAGGUUGAAAAUGAGUUUUGAGUGUGAUUUUAGGUAUAAGAACGGAUGGGGAUUAGGAUCUAUGGAUUGAUUUGCAUCAAAACCGUGUAGAAAAGGUGGAUUUGUGAGUGAAAAAUGAGAGAGAAGGACCGGUUUUUAGAGAGCGAACAAGAACCGGAUUGCUGAAUGAAAAAGGAAGAAGAACAGUUGAAAUAGCUCCCGAAACUGGCUUGCCGGUUUGCACUAUCUGGCUAGCCGGUUGAGACCAGAAGCUUGAAACCCGUAAACGGCUUGCCGGUUUGACUUGAACUGGAAAUCCGGUUGUGACCAGCAAGUCCUUCACUCGAAUCCGGUUUUCCGGAUAACACGAACCAGCUUGCCGGUUGGAUCCAAAAGAUAGCAAGUGAGAAUCGGAUUGCCGGUUUUCCUGAACCGGUUGGCCGAAUGAGUCUAGAAUGCUGCCAAAGUGCAGCUCGAAUUCGGAUUUCCGGAUUGACAGAACCGGAAAUCUGGUUUUGUUCCAGCAAGCUUUCCUUGCGAAUCCAGCUUUCCGGUUUUGCUAACCGGUAGUCCGGUUUGAGGCAGAAAGUUACCUCUUCAAUUCGGUUUUUCAGAUUUUAAGAACCGGUUAUCCGGUUUUUAGGCAGAGAGAAGGCUUAGCAAAUCCGGUUUUCCGGAUUGAAAAUUCGGUUAUCCGAAUGUUGUCCCGAGAGCAACCAAAGUUAAUCCGGUUUUCCGGAUUGAAAAUCCGGUUAUCCGGAAUUUGUCCCAAGAGAGAUCAAUAAAAAAAGUGUUUUUCCGGAUGAAUGGAAAGGGAAUAUUUGCUAGCUCUUAUACUUGUACUACACACACCAUUUUAUUUCCGGCCUUAAAAAUUGAUUAAUUUUAAAUCAUUUUGAGAUUUAAAACUUUUCAAUAAGCCAUUUAAUGCAUAAAACACAAAAUCAUAAAAUCAUAAAUUUACAAGCAUAUCAAGUUAUUUAAUUCAUGAAACAUAAAUCCAUAUGAUAACAAAUAUAUUAAGCCAUGUAGUAAAACAUGAAUUAAGAUUCAACAUUCAUCAUUCCAAGCUCAUGUCUUAUCUUUAUAAAAUACUCUUCGCUAAGAGGUUUUGUAAAGAUAUCCGCAAGUUGAUUUUCAGUGGAAACAAAUUUAAUUACGACAUCUCCUUUUUGAACAUGAUCUCUAAGGAAAUGAUGUCUAAUUUCCAUAUGCUUAGUCCUAAAAUGUUGAAUAGGAUUCUUAGAAAGAUUUAUAGCACUAGUAUUGUCACAUAAGAUAGGAAUUUGAUCAAGCUUAAUACCAUAGUCUCUAAGGGUUUGUUUCAUCCAUAGAAUUUGUGCACAACAACUACCUGCGGCAAUAUAUUAUGCCUCGGUGGUUGAAAGCGCAACCGAGUUUUGUUUCUUACUAAACCAAGAGACAAGAGAAUGGCCUAGGAAGUGACAUGUUCCACUAGUACUUUUUCUAUCAACCUUAUACCCAGCAAAAUCGGCAUCCGAAUAACAAGUUAAAUCAAUAUGAGUUCCUCUAGGAUACCAAAGGCCAAGAUUAAUGGUGCCAAUUAAAUAUCGAAAAAUGCGUUUGACAGCAAGCAUGUAAGACUCUUUAGGACAAGAUUGAAAUCUAGCACACAAGCAUACACUAAACAUAAUAUCAGGCCUACUAGCAAUUAAGUAGAGUAAGGAUCCCAUCAUACCUCGAUAUGUCUUGAUAUCAACUUCCUUACCUUUCUCAUCUUUGUCCAGCUUUGUGGUAGUACUCAUAGGAGUGCUUUUUGCCGUUCCAUUAUCAUAGCCAAAUCUUUUGAGUAGAUCUUUCACGUACUUGGCUUGGUUUAUGAAAAUUCCUUCCUCAUUUUGUUUGAUUUGAAGUCCAAGGAAGUACUUCAACUCUCCCAUCAUGCUCAUCUCAAACUCUUGGCUCAUACAUGAUGAAAAAUCUUUACACAACAACUCAUUAGUAGAACCAAAAAUAAUAUCAUCAACAUAAAUUUGAACAAUAAGUAUGUCUUGGUUCUUAUGCUUAACAAAAAGAGUUGUGUCCGCUUUUCCUAUUGAAAAAUCGUUAUCCAACAAGAAAUUUUUAAGCCUAUCAUACCAAGCUCUAGGUGCUUGUUUUAAACCAUACAAAACCUUAGAUAACUUAUACACAUGAUUUGGAAAUUUUUCAUUUUCAAAACCAGGAGGUUGUUUCACAUAAACUUCCUCCAUAAUAUAUCCAUUUAAGAAAGCACUCUUGACAUCCAUUUGAUAUAAAAUAAAAUCCUUAUGACAUGCAUAUGCUAACAACAUCCUAAUGGAUUCUAACCUUGCUACAGGUGCAAAAGUUUCAUCAAAAUCAAUUCCUUCUUCUUGGUUGUAACCUUGAGCCACUAAUCUAGCUUUAUUUCUUACAACCACACCGAAUUCAUCCAUUUUGUUUCUAAAUACCCAUUUAGUACCUAUAAUGGAUUGAUGUUCCAGAUUAGGAACUAACUCCCACACAUUGUUUCUCUCAAAUUGAUUCAACUCCUCUUGCAUUGCCAUAAUCCAAGAUUCAUCAUUUUCCGCAUCCGCAAAAGAUUUUGGUUCAAUUUGAGAAAUAAAUGUAGCAUGCUCACAUGUGUUCCUAAGAGAUGAUCUAGUGGUAACACCUCGUGAAGGAUCUCCUAAAAUUACAUUCUUAGGGUGAGAGGAUACAUACCUCCACUCCUUGGGGAGUGUUUGAGAAGUACCUUCAUUUUGCUCUACAUUUGUUUCUUCAUGAUGUUCCUCUUGAAUUCCAUGUGGUGAGUCUUCUUGGUUGUCAUUCGAUGCUUCUUCUUGUUGUUCUUCUUCUGCAUUAUCAUCAACAACGACUUUCUCCGUAGAGGAGGGGUUAGACUCAUCAAACGUAACAUGCAUAGAUUCUUCCACAACUAAAGUUCUUUUGUUAUAAACUCUAUAAGCUUUUCUUGAAUUUGAAUAACCAAGAAAGAUACCAACAUCAGAUUUUGGAUCAAAUUUACCAAGAUUAUCUUUUGUGUUCAAAACAAAACAUUUGCAUCCAAAAACUUUAAAAUAACCAAUGUUGGGUUUUCUAUCUUUCCAAAGCUCAUAUGGAGUUUUAUUAAAAUUAGGUCUAAUCAACACACGAUUUAAAACAUAAUAAGCGGUGUUGACGGCUUCGGCCCAAAAGUACUUAGGCAAAGAGUUUUCAUUCAACAUGCUCCUAACCAUUUCUUGAAUAGACAUAUUCUUUCUCUCUACUACUCCAUUUUGUUGUGGAGUCCUAGGUGAUGAAAAUUGAUGUUCAGUGCCAAAGUCAUUACAAAAAUUUUCAAACGCAUGAUUUUCAAAUUCUCCACCAUGAUCACUUCUAAUACAAGAAAUAGAAUAACCUUUUUCAUUUUGAACCUUUUUAUAGAAAAUUCGAAAUGCAUCAAUAGCGUCAUCCUUAUUAGCUAAGAACAAUACCCAUGUGUACCUAGAAUAAUCAUCCACAAUUACAAAUGCAUAAAAUUUGCCACUUAAGAUAGCAUAUCUAGAAGGUCCAAACAAAUCUAUGUGAAGUAAUUGAAGUAGUUUUGAAGUAGAGACAUGAUUCUUGCUUUUGAAGGAAGUUUUGAUUUGUUUUCCAAAUUGGCAUGCUUCACAAAUUCUAUCUUUUUGAAAACUGAUUUUUGGAAGACCUUUAACUAAAUCAUUUUUCAUGAUUUUUGAAAUCAAAUCCAUGCUUGCAUGACCUAAUCUUCUAUGCCACAACCAACCAUCAUCAUGCAAUGCGGAGAGACAUUUAUCAUGUAUUGAUACACAAUCUAUAUUAAUGGUAUAGACAUUAACACAUCUAUUUCCUACAAACAAGACUUUCCCAUCACAUGCAUUCUCAAUAACACAUUUUGAUUCAUCAAAGAUAACUCUAUAUCCUUUAUCACAUAAUUGACUAAUACUAAGCAAAUUGUGUUUCAAGUUUUCAACUACACACACAUUUUCAAUGAGAGUAGAGGAUACAUUACCGACAUUUCCAAUCCCAAUGAUUUUUCCUUUUGAAUUAUCUCCAAAUGAUACAUCUCCACCAUUUUCGAUCUUAGUAAAGCUUGAAAACCAAGAAUAAUUCCUUGUCAUGUGUCUUGAACAACCGCUGUCCAAGUACCACUUAUUCUUCUUCUUCUUCAAGCCCUGUAGAGAAAAUCUCAAGUUUUAGGUACCCAAACCUUUUUGGGUCCUUGAGAGUUAGCAAUGGUUCCUUUCGGAACCCAAACACAUUUCACACCAUAAUAUGCAUUUCUCUUCACUGCACAUCUAUUUUUCAUAUGACCAUCUUGAUUACAAUAAUGACAUACAAUUUGAUUGUUGAUAGAUGUAUUCUUCACAAAAUAACUCUUGUAAAAUUUUUGUUUAAAAUUUGGUUUAUAACCAAUGCCACUUUUGUCGAAUACACAUUUUUGUGAGUUUAGCAAAUUGUCCAACAUCUUUUGCCCAUUUGUGAAUUUUAGCACAAUUUCAUUUAGUUCAUUGCUCUUCUUUCUAAGCAUUUCAUUUUCAUUUUUCAAGUCAUUCAUUUGUGACUCUAAGUGCUCAUGUGAAGUGCUAGAAUUCUCAAAUAAUGCAAUACUAUCAUGCAAUGUUUUAUUUUCUAAUUCUAGGCAUGUAAUCGUUGCACUAAAUGAUUCAUUUUCAUUUUUAAGCUCUAUCAUCUUCUUUUUAAGACAUAUAUUCUUUUUACCAAUCUUCAUCAACUCAUCAUGCAAAUCCUUAAAGGCAUAAUGUAAUUCAUCAUAUGUAGGAAGAACAUUUACCUCAUCGAGUUCAUCACAUGAUUCUUCCCCAACGGCCAUGAGAGCUAAAUUUGUCAUUUCUUGUUGCUCAUCAUCAUCACUUGUUUCCUCAUCGCUAUCAUCCCAUGUGGCCACCAUAGCUUUCUUUUUAAGUUUGUUGAGAAGAGGACAUUUCGGUCGUAUGUGUCCGGGCUUCUUGCAUUCAUAACAAGUGAUUGGCUCCUUCUUCUACUUCUUAUUCUUGUAGCCUCUGAACUUUCUCUGCUCAUUAUUCUUUUUGUAAUAUUUUCUGAAUCUUCUAGCCAACAUAGCCAACUCCUCAUUAUCCAUUUCGCUUUCCUCAUCACUCUCACGUUUUGAAGCCUUGAGAGCAAUAGUUUUCUUCUUUUCCUCAUGCCCUUUUUCAGCUGCCAAAUCUUCUUCAUAUGAAAUGAGAGAACCAAUUAGAUCAUCAAUAGGUAAAACAAUAGACAACUUUAAGUUUGUGCCAAAUCUCAUUAGCACUUUCGCAACUAGACACUCUAUGAAACUCUUUCUUAUCUAAUGCACAAAACAAGGCAUUCAUGGCCUCGAAAUUUAGAAAAGCUUUUCUCUUUUCGAAUUCAUUCCAAUCCCGUGAAGGUUUUGGAAUAUCUUCUCCGACUUCAUUUUUAGUCAAAGGCAUGAAAGGACCAUCAUUAACGAUUUCCCAAAUUUUAUAAUCUAAGGCUUACAAGUAAAUUCUCAUCCUAGUUUUCCAAUAUGGGUAAUCGUUUCCAUCAAAGUAAGGUGGUCUAGUGGUGGACUGUCCUUCCCUAAAUGUUGAAUCAUUUUGAGUUGCCAUUGAUCUUUAGCUCUUGACGGUUAAGUCUAAAUACGAGCACCUCGCUCUGAUACCAAAUGAAAUAUAAGUGUGCAACCCAAGAGGGGGGGUGAAUUGGAAUUUUAAAAAUUAUCCUAGCAAAUCCACACAACAAGCUAUCUAAUGUCUUAAUAAAAAUUGAAAGCAAUAAGUUCAAUAAAAGCACAAUAAUUAAAUAGUAAGGGAGAAGAGAAACAAACACACGAAUUUUUACGUGGUUCGGCAAUCCCCGCCUACGUCCACGCCUCUAAGCGAUCCAAGCUUGAGGAUUUCACUAUCCAAGCUUUUCCAAGGCUUCAACCGAUUACAAUUGACUUUGAGGUGUCAAUAAACCUUUACAACAAAGAGAUUAUAUCCCAAUCUCUUCACUCAAGUGUCUCACACACUCAAACUCUUACAAUUGAGAUGAAUAAAUGAAGGUUACAAUAAAACUCACUCAAUGAGUAGAUAUUCAAAAAUGAAGAACAAGAAAUGAUUCAAUGUUUGUAUUUUGCAAGUUUUAAGGCUUAAGAUAUCACGUGUGCUUUUUGUUUUUGCUUAUUGGAGAAAUUCAAAAUGAGUUGGAUUUGAGUUCUUAUAGUUUGAGCUCAAAAAUUAGCCGUUACUCACAUUUUGGGUGUAUCCGGUUUGCCGUUUAUGGAAUCCGAUAAGCCAGAUUUAUGUUACCGUUUGAAUUUUGCCUAUCCGGCUUACUGGUUACGAAAUCCGGUAAGCCGUUUGCGUUCUGGAUGCUUACUGUCCCGUAUCCGAUUUUCUAAUUUUUAUAUCCGGUACGCUGCUUGAUACAGUAACCUGCUACACUGAGAUUUUUCCUAAAUUUUCAGUUUGACCCCCAAACUUUAUAAAACUGUAGUAUGGCUCAAAACGUUAUAAAAGUUUGCAAAUAGGUCCAAUUUCAUAAUUUCUAAGUAAUGCUUCGUUAAUCCUAAAACUUUCUGAAAUUAUGAUUUCGCCCAAACUUUGUGAAAUUAUAGAAUGACCCAAAACGUUAUCAAAGUUUGUAAAUAGGUCCAAUUUCAUAAUUUCUAAGUAAUGCUUCGUUAAUCCCAAAACUUUCUGAAAUUAUGAUUUCGCCCAAACUUUGUGAAAUUAUAGAAUGACCCAAAAAUAUUUAAAUAGUUUCAAAUAGGUCCAAAUCCGAAAUUUAAAACAUUAUCAAAGAUUUUGAAAUUUUAGUCCAAAAUGUUUUAAUUCCAUAACAUCAUUUUCUUAUUAUAAAAGCACAAUUCAUAAAUCUUUGCUUAAUAAAUACAUGUGGUUUGUUAUCAUCAAAAUCAAUAUUUAUAGCCAUAUAGGCUAACAAUAUUGUUCACGUAUACGGUACUAUUCCCAUAUACGGUACUGUUCACAACUGCGGUGGAGACGACCAUUUAUACUUGGGAGACAGUCUAUUGUAAGUAGUGUGUAUUUUUACAUGUCUAGAAAAGUUCUGUCAACAAGGCAAUAAGAGUCUAAGGAUUCCAGUUUUUAAUUGGGACCGAGUUCCCGUCCAAUCUCUAGAGAACUUUCCUAGUGCAUUUAUUUACGCGAAAUAAACAUCAUAGAGGCUGUUUUUUUAAGUGUAAAUAGUUGUUGAAGAAACUGAUCAUUUGAGAUAAAAAGGAUGGCAGAGGCAUCGUCGUCAUCUUCAUCAGCGAGGACUACUGUGACUAAUACAAAGUUUGAAGUGGAGAAAUUCGAUGGUACCAAUAAUUUUGGUAUGUGGCAAUGUGAGGUGUUGGAUGUCUUAUGUCAGCAAGAGUUGGACGUUGCUCUUGAAGAAAAGUCUGACAUGAUGGAUGACAAGGAGUGGAUAAAGAUCAACAGACAAGCAUGUGAUACUAUUCGCCUAUGUUUGGCUAAAGAUAAAAAAUACUCUGUCAUGAGGGAGACAUCGGCAAAGAAAUUGUGAGAGACACUGGAAGAAAAAUAUAUGAAGAAAAGCCUUGAAAAUAGGCUUUAUAUGAAAAAGAAACUCUAUCGUUUCACAUAUACACCUAGCAUGUCAAUGAAUGACUAUGUGAACUCAUUUAACAAAAUAUUAGCAUAUUUGCUAAAUUUGAAUGAGCAAUUUGAAGAUGAAGAUAAGGCACUAUUGUUGUUGAAUUUCCUUCCUGAUGAAUAUGAUCAUCUCACCACUACUUUGUUUCAUGGGAAAGACAGUGUCACAUUCGAUGCUGUAUGCAGUGCAUUGUACAACUCUGAGACCAGAAAGAAAAAUAGAAGGAUCACAGAGAUACAGUAGCGGAAGUAUUAACAGCGAGAGGCCGUUCACAAAGCCGCAAACCUAGAAAAAGAAGCAAGUCUAAAGGAAGCCUUGCUAAAGAUUAGUGUGAUUUUUGUCGCGAGAAAGGGCAUUAGAAAAAGAAUUGUCAUAAGUUACAAAAGGGUAAGGCUACUUCUGAUGCAUGUGUAGCAGAACAUGACGAGGAGUCAGACUUUAGUCUGGUUGGCAUGACAUUGAUGUCUCACUCAGAUGAGUGGAUUUUAGAUUCAGGUUGUACUUAUUAUAUGUGUCCUAACAAAGGCUGGUUUUCUAACUUCAAGGAGCUAGAUGGUAGAGUUGUUUUUAUGGGCAAUGACAAUGCUUGUAAAAUCAUGGGAAUAGGUACAAUCCAAUUAAAGAAUCAUGAUGGCUCAAUCCAAGUCUUGACGGAUGUUCGCUAUGUACCAAGCUUGAAGAAAAAUCUCAUCUCAUUAGGAGUCCUAGAAUCUAAAGGGCUCACAAUUACUUUGGGAGAUAGAUUGUUGAAGGUAGUAGUUAGGGCGCUGAUGGUAAUGAAGGACAUAAGAAGAAAUAACUUGUAUUAUUUCCAAGGAAGUACAAUUAUUGGAUCAACAUCAAUAAUUUCUAGAAAAAAUACAGAUUCCGAAGCGACCAAGUUGUGGCAUAUGCGUUUAGGACAUGCUGGUGAAAAAGCUUUGCAGACUUUGGUAAAGUAAGGCUUAUUGAAAGAUACAAAUUCCUGCAAAUUAGAAUUUUGUGAACAUUGUGUUCUGCGCAAGCAGACAAGGGUAAAGUUUGGUUCAACAAUUCAUGAUAUAAAAGAAAUUCUGGACUAUGUUCACAGUGAUAUGUGGGGACCUACCAAAACAGCUUCUUUGGGAGGUAUGCACUAUUUUAUUACUUUUGUUGAUGAUUAUUUAAGAAAAGUAUGGGUGUAUUUGAUGAAGAAUAAGAAUGAAGUUUUGGGCAUUUUUUUGAAAUGGAAGAAAAUGGUUGAGACUCAGACUGGUCAAAAGGUCAAAAGACUUCGCUCAGACAAUGGUGGUAAGUACAAGAGUGAACAAUUUCUUCAAAUAUGCCAAGAUGAGGGAAUUGUGCGACACAACCACAACAGAAUGGGGUGGUAAAAAGCAUGAACCGGAUUAUAUUGGAGAAAAUUCGGUGUAUGUUGUCCAAUGCUGGAUUGGGCAAAGAGUUUUGGGCUGAGGCAAUUAUACAUGCGUGUCAUCUAAUCAAUCAUUUGCCAUCAGCUGCAAUUGAGGGUAGAACACCCAUGGAGAUGUGGACCGGUAAACCUGCUACUAAUUAUGAUUCUUUACAUGUUUUUGGUUCCACUGCUUAUUAUCAUGUAAAGGAAUCUAAGUUAGACCCAAGAGUAAAGAAAGCAUUGUUCAUGGGUAUAACUGGUGGAGUAAAAAGAUAUCGUCUCUGGUGUCCUGUUAUGAAGAAGAUUAUUUUCAGCAUAGAUGUAACUUUUGAUGAAUCAGCCAUGUUGAAACAAAAAGAAUCUCAAGAGAAUGAGAAGACCAGAAGAACUUUGCAGCAGGUGGAGUUUGAAAAGAUUAAAGCUGAUCCAGCUGGUGUCAAUGAGAUGGAUAGUGAUUCUCUAUCGACCGAUGAUGAUGAAGGGGUUCUGACCCAGGAACCUUCACAGCAACAAGAUUCAAUUGCAUAUAGAAGGUCACACAGAGAGAUUCACAGACCUGCUCGCUUUGUUGAUACGGUGGCCUAUGCACUUCCAACUGUAGAUGAUGAUUUCCUUCCACUUACAGAGAAGCAGUAAGUAACCCAGAAAGUAUACAGUGGAAGAAAGCAAUGAACGAAGAAAUGCAGUCUCUUCACAAAAAUGAAACUUGGGAGUUAAUUACACUGCCCAAGGAAAAGAAAGCAAUUGGGUGCAAAUGGGUAUAUGCAAAAAAGGAAGGAUUUCCUCGUAAAAAUAAAAUUCGAUACAAGGUUAGAUUGGUAGUGAAUGGUUACGCUCAGAAGGAAUGAAUAGACUACAAUGAGGUAUUUUCUCUAGUUGUGAAACAUUCGUCUAUUCGAAUUUUGCUAGCCAUAGUUGCACAAUUUGAUCUUGAACUAGUUCAGCUUGAUGUAAAAACUGCAUUUUUACACGGUGAUUUGGAAAAUAAAAUUUGCAUGACUCAGGCAGAUGGAUUCAAGGUUGCUGGAAAAGAAAAUUGGGUUUGCAAAUUGACAAAGUCGCUUUAUAGAUUUAAACAGUCUCCGAGGCAGUGGUAUAAGUGAUUUGAUCGAUUUACGAAAGGGCAAAGGUACACACGAAACAAAUUUGAUCAUUGUGUGUAUUUUCGCAAGCUACAAGAAGGAUCUUUCAUUUAUUUGCUAUUGUAUGGCGAUGAUAUGCUAAUAACAUCCAAGAGUAAAUAUGAGAUUGAGAAGUUAAAGACUCAACUCAAUCAAGAAUUUGAAAUGAAAGACCUGGGUGAAGCUAAGAAGAUUUUUGGCAUGGAGAUAUGCAGAGAUAGAGCUCGUGGCAAAAUAAGCUUAUCUCAAAAGCAAUAUUUGAAUAAGGUAUUACAACAGUUUGGUAUGACUGAGCAGAAAAAACCUGUAAGUACCCCAUUGGCUUCUCAUUUCAAGCUUUCUACACAACUAUCUCCUUCGACAGAUGCAGAACGAGAAUACAUGUUACAAGUUCCAUAUUCAAAUGCAGUGGGUAGCUUGAUGUAUUCAAUGGUGUGUACAAGGCCUAACAUUUCACAUGCAGUUGGUAUAGUGAGCAAGUAUAUGCAUAAUCUUGGUAAAAGGACAUUGGCAAGCUGUAAAAUGGAUUCUAGGGUACAUUUAGAAGACUGUGGAUGUUAGUUUACUGUUUGAGAGAGACGAUACACUUGGUCAAGGUGUGAUCGGGUACGUUGAUUCUGAUUAUGCUGGUGAUUUGAACAAACGACGGUCAACCACCGGAUAUGUAUUUACUUUUAUUGGAGGGCCAAUCAGUUGGAAGUCUACACUACAGUCUACAGUUGCACUGUUGACCACAAAGGCCGAGUACAUGGCAAUUACGAGGCUGUUAAAGAGGCUAUUUGGUUACAAAGCUUGCUUGAAAACUUGAGAUUGGUACAGAAGCAAAUUAAUGUAUAUUGCGACAGUCAAAGUGCUAUUCACUUAACGAAGAACCAAGUUUAUCAUGCACGUACGAAGCAUAUUGAUGUACGAUUUCACUUUGUGUGGGAAAUUGUUGAUGAGGGGAAGGUUCUUCUUCAAAAACUUAAGACUGCAGAUAAUCCUGUAGAUAUGUUGACGAAGGUAGUGACGGCGGCAUUGUCUAAACGUGAUCAAUAUCCUACAAGUUUGAAAGUAGUCGGAGAAGGCAGAGAUUGGAGGAUGAUUUGAUGUACUGGAAGUUUAGUAUUCGGCUCAGAAUUGAAUAAAUCUUAGCCGAGAUGGAGAAUUAUUGAAAAGUCAAAGAAUGACUUGCAAAUUUCAAAAGGCAAAGCUGGUGGGUUUGCCAAAUUCAAAAAAGUAAAGUUGGUCGGCUUGCUAAUUUCAAAAGACAAAGUUGGGUGUUGAAAAGCUUGUGCAUGCAAUACAAGAUCUAGCUCAACGUUUUGACCAAUUGAACCCAACUUGGAGCAAAAUGCACUCUAUAAAUAGAGAAGCAUUUUGCAAUUGUAAGCAUCCAAUUUGAGAGAAGCAGAGAGCAAUUGCAAGUGAGUUCUUUGAGAGAGCUUUAACUUGAGUGUUCUAGUGAGGUUCCAUUUGGGUGUAUUGGGGUUGUGGGUUUUGUAAGUUUUUCUCACUUUUGUAAAUUCCCAUUUGUUGGUAAAAUUAUCUUUCAGUUUUUUACCCGUGGACGUAGGCAUUACGCCGAACCACGUAAAUUAUUGUGUCCUAUUUUCUUUGCAUUUGUUUAUCACCACAUUUAUAUUUCUUUAGAAGUUGCAGUAUUAGUAAUUGCUCAACCCACACUUCCGCAACACAAAUUUCACAAAUUUCACAAAUUUUCCAGAAACGUAUGGGCCCUAUUUUUUUUCAUUUUCAUUCCCUCUUCUAUUUUAAGAAGCAUUCUGAAUUUGAUUCCUGAGUCCCAUGAGUAAACACACUAUUAAUGUAACUCAUGAGUGUAACCAGAGUAGUAAAGGCCAGUAAAGACAGCUGUUAGGAAAAAAAUUACAGCAAAUUGGUCGAAAUUGAUUACUAACAACUCAUUGUAUCCGUAUAUGAAACAAAGUGUUUCAUGCAUGGGGCUGGAAUCAGAUUACCUAAGAGUUUACAAAAUAAAUAAUUAAAUGAUCUCACAAUAUGUAAUAGUUUUCUAAAAUAGAUUUAGGUUAAAACCUUGUCUUUGGUCUUAAUUUUAAUGCGUAAAAAAUAAAAUAAAAACUUUCAAAAGAAAAAAAAUUAAUUUGAAAGACAGUGAAGCAAUUAGCUAGUUACACAUAUCAUAGACCUGUAAGUGGAGCAAUUAGUUUGGAUUCGCAACAAGCACUCGUCUCCUUUCUUAUUUACAUUUUGCCAAAUUCAGAGAGAGAAAUUUUAUGUACAAUUAUUUGUUAAUAAUUUAAAUUACAUAAUGCCCCUUUUGCUUCACACAAGCUCUACUAAACGGAGCAACAUAUAUUAUUCGAGUUAAAAAAUUAACAAGAAUUUAUAAUCGAGAGGAGACGACAUUGCCGGUUACAAGAAAUGGACAAUGUGCCUAAUUAUAUACGACAUGCCGGUUUAUUUUGCGAGGGGGAUCGUAUGAUGAGUAGUUAAUGUCGUCUAGCAGAGUAAGUUAUGUACGUGCUGAUCACUGAUAAUGAACAAAAGUUACAAAACCACUACUCCAUUCUUCAGGAGGACAAAGCCUAGAAAUAGUUAAAUCUCUAUCAUUAGAGUGUUAAGACCCUUUUUUACAUUGAGGUGUUGUAGAAAAAAACUGUAAUUAUAAAAUAAAAGUUAAUAGUAUGUAAUAAACAUAAUUUACAAAUAAUAAUUUUGAUAAAAUUAGUAAAGAUAUAAUAGAUUUUUCAUCAUACAAGUAUAAAAUUAAAUUAACUUAUCUUCAAAACUAUAGCAGAUAGUAUUUACUAAAUAUUUUAGUGCUGCAGCUUUGAAAUUAUAUCUGUCCAAACUCAAUCUUAAAAAAAUCCUAAGUGAGGUCUUGGGGGGUGGGGUGUGCCAAGACUAACCAUCAAGUGAUCUUGAUCCAAGAAUUUUCUUACUAUUUGAGAGUUUUUAAACCUUCACUCAUCAUAAGCAAGAUAAUUCAGAGUAGAAUGAACUAGGUAUGGUACUUGAUUCUGCUAAUUACCCUUGAUUAAGCUCUGAAUUCUCGUAAAAAUAGGACAACUAAACUUGAUCGUAUGCUUACAAAAGAUAUUCUAACGCUCAAGUAAGUGUUUGGAGAUUUUGAAAGCUAAUUUAAAUCUGAAUUUUCUCUUGACUUGAUUUUGGAAAUUGGCCACAAGAUCAUUUCUCAAUCUUUCAACUCAUAUUUAUUGACUGAGAGAUGAAAGAUUGGGGAGAUAAUGCUUUUUAGAUUUGAAUCAUUGCCAUUCAUUCUUGUAAUUUGAUUUUGAUAGUUAAAUUCAUUAACUAUUUUUGUUUCUAUUCGAGUUUUCUGCUCAUGGUUCUGUUAGUAAUCACUUAGCGUUACUUAUCAACAUUUUUGGGUUGAGAAAUAUACAAUUUUUAAACAAGUACAGGAAAUGCAAAUUAAUUCUUAAAAUAAAAAAGAAAUGUAGAAGAUAAAAUUUACAGCUUAUUGGAACUCCAGUGAAGUAUUUGCUCAAAGGAAAGAAGGUAAUCAGAUCACACAAUUUCUAGCUCCGCAUCCUCAGCUCUAUUUGUAUGUUUGUAUUCCAAAAGCAAGUCUUAGUGAAAAUUGACUUGCAUAAUUAAUAUUAUUCGUUAUAAACUUCCAUAAUUCUAAAGCACUUGUUAAUAGAAAAUCGCUUUAGAUUGUACUUAAUCAUACUUCGGCACUCUCAUAAUGUAUUCCUUAAUCUCAUCUAACCAUAAAAGAAAAUAUUUAGGACUAUAAUUUCCAUCAAGCAUUCGAAACAUGAGGUCUUUUGAAUAUUCCAAUCACAAAUGCAAAGCCAAUGCAAAACUAUAAACAAGGCUGAACUAUCAGGUGUGGUAUGGCUACCAGUUGGUGGCCAUAAUUUGGUGUGAUGAUGGUUAAAUCUUGUAGAUAUUGUGGUAAGGAACAUGAUGGUCACUAUGGACUGGUCAGAUUCACAACAGUAAAAGUGGAUCGAAGAGGUGAAUCUCACAGGUUUUGAAGGUUUUGUGUGGUGGGUUAUGGUGGCUUUAAGAUGGCUAAUCAGACACAGUGGUGGCUUGGAUUGGGUGUAGUAGACAGAAGGAAGUUUGAUGAUGGUUGAUUGAUGGUGAGGCAUCAGUGUUAGUGGUGGCACUAGAUGAAACUAGGAAACUACAUUGCUUCAGGUAGAGUUUGCUUACAACAACAUGUCAAAUCGAUCUACUAGCAAUACUACUUUUGAGAUUGUCUAUACUUAUUCCAUAUGCUAUGUCUAUUAUCUGGUUGGGAUGCCAAUAGUAGUCGGAGGAAGUAAAUCAAUGGAUAAUGUGGCAGAAAAAGACUGCAGAUUCAUGCAGAGGUGUGAGCUGACUUGGAGGUUGCCAAUGCUAUGUACAGGGCUAAUGUGGACAAGCAUCAACGCAAAAAAGUAUUUUAGGAAGAUGAUUUGGUGAUGGCACAUCUAAGGCAUACCCAUUUUCCUGGCAUUCACACUAAGUUGGACAAGCAGAAGUGUAGUCCAUCUCAUGUGGCGAUGUAGAUUAAUGAUAAAACUUAUGUGCUGCCGCUGCAAGAAAAUUGGAAUAUCUCUCACACUUUUAACGUGGUUGAUUUGUUUGAAUAUCAUCCAAAUGGUGAAGAGUUGAAUUGGCAUAACUCGAGGGCGAGUUCUUUGCUUUGAUACCAACUAAUGAUGCAAAAAUGUAAAAAAAUUGAUUGAUAAUAUAAACUAGGUUUUUGAAUAGCGAAAGUUUUAUUAGAAAAGUCUUAAUAAACAAAACUAGGGUUUGAGGUCCCCUUAUCGUGAAUUUACUAAAAUAGGAAAAUUUGAAAUAUUAUUUUAUAAUAAAUACUCCUAAUCUAAUUAAGGAAAGCAAAAUAACCGCACCCAAAUUCAAUGUAAAAAAAAAAAGAUAAAAAUCAUGAAAGUAAUAGACAAAUAAGAAAAUAACUUAAAAAUAAAAAAAGGACCAAGAAGGAAGCAAAAUUCUCAGCUCAAUCACAGGCAAAAUAGUACAACCAGCUCUGGAUUUGAUUCAUCUCGUCGUAAGCUUUGAAACGAUAUAUUUUAUGGCAAAAAUAAACACCUAUAGCCCAUGUUAUAACCUUCGGAAGAUACCCUACUCAUUCAACACAAAAGUCCUACAACAAUAUGGCAAGUACAGAGGCUAUUAGGGAGGCUAUUUGAUUACAAGGUUUGUUUGAAAUCUUGGGACAAGUACGGGAGCAAUUAAGAUGUUUUAUGACAGUCCAAGUGCUAUUCACUUAGCAAAGAAUCAAGUUUAUCGUGCACGUACAAAAUAUAUCAACAUAUGAUUUCAGUUUGUGCAAAAAAUAAUCAAUGAGGGGGAUAUUCUUCUUUGAAAGGGCAAGACCGUAAAGAAUCCCACAAAUAUGUUGACCAAGGCGGUGGUGACAAUCAAGUUUAAGUAUUAUCUAAAUAUGAUCAACAUCUUGCAAGCUUAAAAUAGUAAGAAAGGCAGAGAUUGGUGGGUGAUUUACUGUACACAGUUUAAUUUCUUUCAAAUAAAGGUAGAGAUUUAUUGAAAUAUUGAUGUCAUGUGGGAAAUCAUUAAAGACAAAUUGGCGAAUAAUUGAUUGGUAAAAGCGUGAAGAUGAAAUAGUAAAACUAUUUGACAAUUCUUUUCGUAAAAUUAAAUGCUAUACGGCGAUUUUGGCGAAAAUGGAACGUGGCAACAAAUUGCACAUGCAAAAUUGUUAACAAAAUGUGCAUGGCUUUAAUGCAUGCAAUUAAAGUUGCUAUCUCCAUGUCAUGGGAAAUUGAAAGGAUGGCAAUUCAUGCUCCUUUUGUCAAGAUUUGCCCAGCAAAAUGGCGGCUUGUCCCAGUGGAUUUUGUUCCAUAAUUGUCAACGGGCAAAGCCAUUAGAUGCCUAUAAAUAGAGCCUCAUUCCACAGAGUUAAAGUCAUCCCAAAUUGUAAAAAUUUGAGAGCAUUUGCAAAUGAGCUCUUCAAUAAUGCAGAGAGAGCACUUUCUUAGAUGUUCCUUGAGUAUGCUGCAGUAAUUUUUUACUUUACUGAUUUUGUAGAUCCUUUUGUUUUUGCUGCUCUAUAAGGCCUCGGCUACUGACGGUCUUUCUCUAACCGUUUCUGUACCUACAGCGGAACCUUAUAAUAAACUUUCCAUGUUUGUAGAGUUGCCGUGCUUGUUCAGCUGAAUGAUACUUUUGUCCCCUGCUCUUCUCUGAAGUAAAUUUUAUAAAUCAAAUAUAUGGUAUAAAUCAGAAUAGUACUUCAUCCAUCUCUCAAAUCUUAUUAUACAAUUAUUAUUCAAUUCCAUUUGUCUUUAUAAAUUAAUUUAAUUUGUACAGUUUCAUUAAUUUACAGCAUUUUGUCAGACUUAAAAUUGAUUUGAUUUGCCAAAUUCGGGACCCAGCCCUCUUUCUCCCCCCAAAGUAUCCAGUAUUUAACUGAGAAUUGAGUAGUGUAGAUAUAUCCCUCUAAUUAUGAGGGUAGAAUUCUGGAUUGUACUUUAGUGAGAAUUAAUCAAGGUGAGUCCUAGUAGAAUUCUAAUUGUAAAAUAUGUAAGUAGAAUUUCCACAUAUUGAAAAAAAAAAAUUGAUUUAAUUUGUAAUGUUAAGUGAUAUUCCACAAACAUCAGCCACAAUAUCAGAAGUCACCCCCGCCCAUGUUAUUCAAGUGAAAUCCAUAAAAUUUCAAUAAGAAUAAAUCUCAACAACCAAAGCCUUUGUAAGCUUGAUGUGCAAUAUUACUUAGAAGAGGCAAGCUAAGCUAUUCAACUAGAACACCAGAAGCUGUAAGGAAGGGGGAAAAAAUCCAAUCAGAUUGCAAAAAGCUAGGCUUAUUAAUUUAGAGGAUUGCUACACAUCCCAAAUCCUUUAUCCCAAAAAAUUUAUUCCAAAUGUUGUGUCAUUCAUCAAUUAGUUAGUAAAUAUUUUACUUAGAUCUUGUAAAGAAUUACCAACCACUCAAUUAAUAACACCUCAUUUGGGAUAAAAUUUAGGAUAAAAAUUUUGAGAGGUCUAUCAUUACUCCUAAAUUUAUUGUUUAUCCAAAUGUACACAAAAUAUAAGAUAUUUUGCAGGAAAAAAAAGAAAAGGAAAUAGACGGUUUAGUAUUACAAUCUAAUUUGAGUUAAAAACCCCUCUGUGAGCCAUUUUCUUGCCCCAGAUUGAAAUAAAAAUAAAGUUAUCCAGAUGGCCUUCAGCUGGACAUAAAAUGAGGUUAAUGAGUGCCAUAUACACGUGUGCGCGCACGCAAUAGUGGAUGCAAAAAUAAGAAAGCUGUACGAAGAAACAAUGCUGCAAUGAUAAGAGAAAUUAAGAAUACAAAACAGAAUAUUUAUUUCAGUCCUUUAGUUUUCCCUAAAUCGCAAACUCACAUAGCUUCAAUUUCAAAGAUCAUGAAUGCAAUUUUGAUUCAUGGAAGCCACAUUCUGAACAACUAUUGGAAUAUUGUUUGUUUCUGAUCCAAGCAGAGCAUUCUCUGGUAAUUCAGCAUAAGAAAAUUUUCAAGAGUAGAUAUAGUAAAUAAUAAAAAGAAUGUAAAUGAAUUAUAAAUAGCAAAGUACAAAAAUUGAAAUUGAGAUAUAUGCGCAAGAGGGUAAUCACCAGGCUUCACCCAAUCGCUCUUCAUUCGAGCUCUCUAAACCUUUUAGGUUGUGGUUCCUCAUCAUCACAGCAGCCACUUCCACUGGCUUCUGCCCCAAAGUAUUCAGUAAGGCUUCGCUUUGACGUUGUGGCUACAAUCAUCUUCGAUCCAACAAAAUGUUAUCGAAUUCAUUCAGAUUAUAAACAGUAAAACGACUUGGUUGGUUUGUCGUUUGGUCUAACUCCUCCACUUCGUCCAUAUAAACUGGAUGUAAACCACACAUCUUCACCUCCAAUCCUUGGCCCAACCAGGGUUCAAGUGAUACAUUAACAUGAUUAGAUUCAAAGGCUCAAGAUUAGACUCUAAAGGCAAUCUAAUAUCGUAGCAUGUUUGACGAGACAAAUAGAGUAGCCAAAGAUGGUCUGACCCAGCCUGACCGAAUUUAUCUCUAAAAUCAAUUCGAUAACUGCCAUGUCCAAUGCGGCAAUUCAACUGAUGUGUGGGAUAUGAACCAAAACGAUUGUUACCACGUGAAUUUUUUAGGACAUGAAAAACACAGCAGAUAGCAUAUCCCACCAACUUUUUCUUAUUAUACAGAUUUGAAGGCCUUGUGACUGUUAUUGAAGAUCCCUCAUUCUGAUACAUGAACCACUCCGGUAUUUCACUUCCUGGAACAACAACGCUUAAAUGUUGUCUUGUAUUUGACACUGCCUGCAUCCAAAAUAAUAAUAAUAAUAAUGAAGUCCAAACCAUUGCUUAAUGUUUUGGCAUAUAUAAUUUUGGCAUACGGAGUAAAAAACUGACCUCUAGGUACUCUCGUAGCAUUGAAAACGCCAAACUUUUGUUGCCGAGCAAUUUUAAGCUGUCUAAACAAUUAAUCAUUGUGCUGUCGGGCUUGCAUAAUUUUAAAGCAUCUAAUAAUGUCACUAACGAAGCACAACCAUUUACUCUAACUUCCCUGAUAUUGGGUGGAAGUUGUGGCAGAGAUUGAAGCCUCUUGCAAUCCUCCAAUUCAAUAUUCCAAAGCUUAGAAAGACGGGUAAUGCUUGUUGGAAGUGAAACAAAGCUGUUUUUACUCAAAUAUAACUCUUCUAAUGAGCAUAGGUUGCCAAUAUCACUUGGAAGGGCUCCUUCCAUUAGAUUACAAUCAGUGAGAUUCAAUUUCCUCAAAGAACACAAACCUGAGAGAGAAGGCAACUUCAGAGCCACAGACUUUCGCAUUAAGUUGAUUGGGAUGUACGAAUACCAUGACGUCGAAUGUGGUACAGCUGUUCCACUGAUAUCAAGCUCCUCCAAACAUUCAAUUUGUCCAAGUGUCUCUGGCACAUUUUCAAGUUUGAAGCAGCCAGAGAGAUUCAGAGUUUUAAGAGAUUUCAAGGCAAUUAUACUGCUUGGAAGUCUCACAAGAUUUUUACAGUCACUCAAGUUCAGCAAUUCAAGUUUUGUCAAAAGUUCUAUGGAUGAUGGCACUUCUUUGAUAGAAGUUCCAUCUAAAAAGAUCUCUGACAGAUCUUUCAUACUUCUUACAAUCUCAGGAAACUUCUUAAGUUUCGAGCAACCAGAGAGCUUUAAAGUCCUAAGACAUUUUAAACUACUUACAGUAACUGGAAGAAUCUCGAGACUCCUGCAAUUUUUCAAAUUCAACAAAACAAGGCCGGACAGAAGUUCAAUUGAUAGUGGCAAUCCUCUAAUGGCUGUUCCCUCCAAAUGAAGCUCCGACAGAUGCUCCAUAUGUUCUACAAUCCCUGGAAACUCUCUAAAUUUCAAAUCACCAGAGACAUCCAAAGUUGAAAGACAUUUUAGACCACUUAUGGUCGUUGGAAGACUUUUGAGAUUCUUGCAAUUGUUUAGAGCCAGCAAGACAAGUUUGGAUAGAAGUUUAAUAGAUAAUGGCAGUUCUUCAAUAGCUGUUCCAUCCAACAAAAGCUUCGACAAACACUCCAUACUUCCCACGAUGUCCGGAAAUUUCUUUAAUUUCGAGCAACCAGAAAGAACAAGUUUUUCAAGAGAUUUCAUCAAAAUCUUGCCAGGAAGAGUUAUAAGACUUGUACAAUCUUUCAUGUUCAAUAUGAUAAGCUUAUUGUGAAGCAGCAGAGAUGGGUGAAUUUCAUACAACCUUGUACAUCCUUCAAGAAUCAGCUUCUCUAAAUUUGGGGCCCCUGUGAAGUCUGGCAUCCUUAUCAAGUUCUCGGAAUGGCUGAGUAUCAUGACUUUCAACUUGUCUAAACGCUGUAGAAAAUAAAAAGGAGCGAGAAAGAUAUUUCUUAAUUCAAUUAGAGAGGAAUGGCAAAACUAAUAAAUUUAUAUACUAUUAUUCACUGAGAAAAUAUAUAUUAGUGACAAAAUUGAUCUUACUUUGAUUCCCUUCCACAAUUCUCCUAUGCGGCUAUAAGACAUGUUAAUUUCAAUAGUUUUAUCCAUUUGCAAAUUUGAUGGCAAAAAUUUCAAAGGAUAUCCAUGCCAAUCAAGUAACCUUAACCAAUUAGACAGGUAUUCAAGGCCAUUAGGAAGUUGCGGAUUACAAAUUUUGAGCAAUCUUAGGUUGGUCAUCUUCGAAAAUGCUUUAGCACUCGCACACAAAUACACCUCAUUUUGAAGAUGGUAGUUAUCAAGUACUAUUCCUUCCACUAGUUCAGUUCCCUGAAAAAAUCAUAAGCAAAGGAUAGACAAUAAAAUAAUAAUGUAAAGAUGUUGAAAAGUUGUCUGAGAUUUAAGUAGGUGAAAGAAAUUAACAAGCACGAGCUGAGGAAUACAUGUUUUCCAAACAAAUUAGUCACUUACUGUGCUUUCUGUCAACACAUGGCAUACUUCUUCUUCCUUCCAUAAUCUGCUGCGUUUCCCAGGUUCUUCAGGUGAUUGUCUCUGGACAAUUUGUUGCCCUAAUUCUUGUAACAAAUCAUGCAUCCACAGUGUGUUAUUAUGCACAGUUAUUAGACAUUUUUCAAUGAGAACUCUUAUUCCAAUAACUGGAUGAAAACCACAUCCCUCUAGAAAAUUCGUGACAUAAUCCCUAUCAUUUCCUUUAAAGAAACAUGCAACAUCGAGAAAUAUUUUUUUCUCUAGCUCCUGUAGCCCAUCAAAACUUAUUUGAAGUAUAUCCAGAAUCUCACUAGGAGGUUCUAUUUCUAGCCGUUCCAGGGUACUUCUCCACUCAUCCACAGAUCUACCAGACAAAAAGGAACCCAAAACUUCUACAGCCAAUGGAAGACCACCAGCAUACCGGAUAACACGUGCAGAUAGCUGCACACAUUCUUGCAAAGGUUGAUAAGUUUUAAAAGCUUUCAUAAUGAAGAGUUGAAGAGCUUCAUCAUAAUUUAGCCCAUGAGGCCUAUACACUUCAUCAACCCCAUGUGUUUUCAACAACUGUUCGUCUCUUGAUGUUAUGAUGAUCCGGCUGCCUGAACCAAACCACUCACGAUUUCCAGCUAAACUUUGUAAUUGUUUUACAUCAACCACAUCAUCAAUAACAAGAGCCUUUUUUCUUUGCAGUCUACUUCCUAACAUGUCGAUACCAUCAAAGACAUUCCAUAUACUAUUAUCUGCAAGCUUUAAUAACUGGGAAAGGAGUUGCCUUUGUAAAGAGACUAGGCCCCCUUUACCGGAAAUUUCUCUAACAUUGGCAAGGAAACCACUUGCUUCAAAUUCAUGAGAGAUCAAGUCAUAAACAACUCUUGCUGUCUUACCUAGACCUCCCAUCCCACAGAUCCCUAUCAUACGCACAUCACUAGACCCUGAGUCCAUAAGAAACCUUAGUUUCUCACAACGUGAAUCCAUUCCUACUAGCUCCUUAAGAGUCUCUGGUUUUGUACGAAUUUUACUUGAUACCACAUUGACAAUUUCCUCAAUAAGUUUUGACUCAUUGCUACAGAUUGAAAUCAACGAGAAAAGAUUAGUGUUAAAUUAAAGUAAGUGUGGACGUGGAGUCAAAUUAAUUCCAUUAAAUGUACAUAAAAAUUAUGCAAAAUUCAUUGGACCAAAUUGAAAUAAUAUAUUUUACAUAUGGAAAAUCUUUAGUUGUGUUCUUCAUGUAAAUAUCUACAUUGAUCUGUACCUCUCAGUUUGCAAAAAUAAACUUGUGGAGCUACUAUUUCAAAUACUACACAUCAUAUGAAAUAUGUAUUAACUAGAAGCAUUUUAAUUGAAAACACUCUAAAAGCUGUUUAAGAAUGGUUACCUUUGUUUUAAUUCCCAACCGGAGAUAUUAGCCACCUCUUUCAAAAUGUCUCUCCACUUUUGCACCUUUUCUUUAUUGUCCCUAAAAACUUCUUCAUGUUUAGCAAAUGCCUCAUGAAAAUUUCUUGUCUGUUUUCUUACCACAGUCGGUUCCAUAUCAUAGAAAAUAGGAAAAAUUUGAUCUUCUGCGUUCUUGCAUUCAACAAUCUUAACAAGUUCAUCCAAGCACCAAGUGGAAGAAGCAUAGUUUUGCGAGAAAACAAUAAUUGAUAUUCUUGAUUCUUCAAUUGCUUUAAGGAGUUCUAGUGGAAUGGAUCUUCCUCUCUCAAGUUCUUUGUCAUCCUUGAAUACAUAAAGUUCUUUAUUUUUCGACGCAGCAUAGAGAUGACCUGUGAAGCGUUUACGGGUGUCUGCUCCUCUAAAUCUUAAGAAGGCAUCAUAUUUCCAAUGAGAGAUAUUUUGGAUGCUGGUGGAAGCCAUUAUAUCUUUUUCCUGAAAAUUUACAAUAAACUAAGUGGCUUCCUGGGAACAAAAUACCCAUCAUUACUAUGCAAACAAAAAUGCAAUAUAUAUCUCAAUUGUCAAAGUUGUAUAGCUCUAGGUUGCACUGCACUGAAUUGCAUUAAGCUCUGAAGCAAUACCAUGUGUUAGGUAAAUAAGAGCACCAACUCGGCCAUGCCAUCAAUGGUACGAGCAGAACACUGAUAAUGAGCCCUCUACAAACAUGGGCCGACUAGAGACGAGUACCAGCCAGAGGAAUAUACCGACCAGAGACAUAUACCGAGCCGAUACCCAUUCCCCAAAGAGCGGGAACACGAUCCCACAGAAUCACAACAGUUGUGCUUUUCCCAAAACCGUUGAGGGAAGCGCGAGAUCCCACGUUUGCCCAUAAUGCAGUAGUUAGAGUCCCAUGAGGGGCUGCCACUACCCGAACAAGGGGGGAUGAAGGGUAAACGGAAACGUGGGACAGCGGCUAUAAAAGAGGAAGAAAUCGAUGAAGAAAGGGAUAGAAAAAUUGAGAGAAGGGAAAACUCUGUCAAAUUGAAACCAGACCAUUUUCAAUACAAAUUGUGAGCCCAUUAUAAGCAAUUUAUCGAAUCUUAAUUGUACCGUUUUCCCGUAAACACCUUGUGCUAACUUAGGCAUCGGAGGGUUUAUGCCGGCAAAACCACUGGCGUCUCUGAUCCACUUUUGUGAACGCAGGCUUAGUGGGAGAAAGAAGGAUAAUUCCAACUUCGGUGACUAGAGCAAUCGUCGAAGCAAGAAGAAAUUGACAUCCUCACUGUUGAUAAUAUAAACGUUGGUGUAAAGAUCUGGUCGGGCAAAGGACGAGCAGAUUUCAGCAUCAACAUUUUGGCGCCGUCUGUGGGGAGCUGGAUAAAAAGCUACCACCAAGUUAAUAGUAACUGGAGAAGCAACGAACGAUUAGAUAUGGAUGUGUCAAGGAAGGAUGCUUUGAGGGAUGACAAUGAAACUGUUGAGACAAUCACUCUCCGGGAAAUUGCGAAUGAAGCUCAAGAGAGGAUGAUGCAAGAUCGACUGGAGCGGAUGGAGAAAUAAAUGGAGACUCUCACGGCCAUACUGUAUGAGCUGAGGGAUGAGCGGAGAAGGGAUUGUGAAACCCCCGCGAGGAGAGAUGAAGUUGGAGCAGAACCCAGCCUCCGGAGGCCUAAAGUCGAGGAAAUUCCUCCGCCGGUGGACCAACCUAAUGGGGUACAUCCCCACAGAAGUACUGGUCAGGUUCCAACAGAACACGUGGAUGAAAGGAGGGACCAACCUCGUCCCGGACGGGUAUUGGAAAUUGAUGGCCGAGCAGCCAAUGUUGAUGAAGGAGAGCUCAGGCAAUGGUUGCAGAAUGCCGAGCAAGAACGAGAUCAGAUAGCUGCACGUGAUCCUGACCGUGCUGUAGAAUUGGAGGGAGAGGUGCGCAGAUUGGCACAGGUGAUGGAGGAGAUACAGGGCAAGAGAAAGCCCCCGAGCUGGAGGAUAAUGCUAGAUGAAGAAUCUCCGUUAUCAACCGAGAUCAUGGGUACUGUAAUCCCAAGAGACUUCCGCUUCCCCGACCUCAAAUACUCCGGGCGAAGUGACCCGUUGGUGCACAUUGAACGUUUCAACGACAUGACGGGUGUGCAGGGGCUGACACCAGCUCAGAGGUGCAGGGUGUUCCCAUUGACGCUAAAGGGACAAGCCCGAGAAUGGUACUGCAAGCUGCCCCGAGAAAGUAUAAAAGGGUACGAGCAGAUGUACCAAGAGUUGGCCGAACAGUUCCGAGGAGCAGUAGCCUUAAAGGACGACAUGAUAGAACUGAUGGGGAUGAAGCAGGAGGAGCAUGAAUCCCUUCAGGAUUUUGUAAAACGAUAUCAUCGGGCCGUGCUGGAUCUGGGAGCUUUUAAUCACCCGCAGGCGUUGAGGGGAUUAAAAGAAUGUGUAAGAAUCAGCCGAUUGUGGAAUAACUUAAGAAGCCCCAUAGUGCAGAAUUACUCGGCGGGGUAAGAACAGGCGAGGCGAGAUAUAGAAAUCGAAGAGGAGAAAUCGGCAAGAAUAAAAAGUGAACAGCUGGAAGAGCUGAGACGAAAGGAACGGAGAGCCCCGAACGAGAACGAAUCGGGAAAGCGAGCUGGGGAAUCCUCAGUAAUGGGCGGAAUAUCAGCUCUGUCCCACCCUUACCCCAUAGCUCAGAGACCACAACAGUUCCAACACGGCCGGGCUCAACCUUCACGCCCCCCAUUCCCGGAGCGGCAACGAGAAUUCAGACAGAUGGCUGCCUACCCUUAUCACAACACUCCCAGAGCGUUACAUGCAACUAAUUCCAGGGCUGGACGACCAGAUCAGCUACCGACGAUACAAGCCCGAGGUGAUAUCCAUGAUAGCCGAGCAGUUCAACUGGUUGACCAGAGCUUGGCGUAUAGACAGUACACCCUAUUAAAAAUCUCCAUGGAGGAAUUGUAUGAGAGGAUCGAAGGACGAGGUCUGCUAUACCCUCCGGCCCCUAUAACAAAAUCUACUCACCGACGUGAUAAGAGCAGGUUCUGCAAAUUCCACAACACUCAUGGUCACACUAUCAGUCAAUGUCAUGACCUAAAGAUUCAGGUGGAGGAUUUAGUGAGGAACCGGUACUUGGAUGAGUAUGUAGAUGGAGUGUCCCCCGUCAUUGAAUCACAGUACAUGCGGGAUGAAGGAGUUGAGAGGGGUCUGGAACGGGAACAGCCGACCAUCCGUGUGAUAGUAGGAGGGCCAACAUUGGCCAGGGAUUCGAACAGGGCACGGAAGAACUAUGGGAGAUACGCCAUGACUGGCAAAGAGGUGCUUCUCAAUUUGCCAAUAGCCAAGAGAGCAAAGGGGCGGCAAGUUCCCAUUAUGUGGACGGAGGACGACGAAGAGGGUAUUUUAUAUCCUCAUGAGGAUGCACUGGUGAUUAAAGCAUUGGUGGCUAGUACAGAAUUGCAGCGAAUACUGGUGGACACGGGCAGCUCAGUUGACAUUCUGUUUAAGUCGGCCCUAGAUGAUAUGGGGAUUUUAUACUUGAAGCUGAAGCGGACGAAUACAUCCUUGAAGGGAUUUGGAGGGGGACGGUUAACUCCUAUGGGGAUCAUCGAACUCCUAAUUACUAUGGGGUCAAAGCCGUUUGAAAGAACGAUGAUGCUGGACUUUGUCGUGGUGGAAGAAAGAAGCCCUUACCAGAUGAUACUGGGGAGACCGUUCAUGAGGAUAAGCCAAUGUGUAAUGUCCACGCAUUAUCUGGCGUUGAAGUACAGAAUAAAUGGAGUUGUUGGCGUAGUAAAAGACGACCAGAGAAUGGCAAUGAGCUGCUAUGCUACAGCGGCCAAGGAAACGCUGCAGGUUACCUCUCUAGAUAACCGAGGGGAUUCAAAAAAGGGUCGCCAGGAACCUGUUGAGAAGCUGGAGGGAGUUGUUGUAAGCAAGAAUAACCCGAGCAGAGUGGUUAAGGUCGGGUCAGAAUUGGGCGAAGCAAUAAAAGGCGAGCUGGUGAAGUACCUACAGUCCCAUGCAGAUAUAUUUGCCUGGUCUCAUGAGGACAUGUCAGGUAUUGAUCGAGGGAUAGCUUGCCACAAGCUGACAAUCAAGAAAGGGGCAAGGCCGGUGAGGCAGAAAAGGAGGUGCUUUAACCAAGAAAGGUACGAGGCCAUAAUUGCCGAGGUAGAGAAGCUGUUGAAAGCGGGAUUUAUAAGGGAGGCUAAAUACCCAGAGUGGAUUUCCAACGUAGUGUUGGUGAAGAGGCCAACGGAAAAUGGCGAAUGUGUGUGGACUUCACAAACCUUAAUAAGGCAUGCCCGAAGGACAGUUUUUCCUUACCAAAAAUAGACCAAUUGGUGGAUUCAACGGCGGGGCAUAGUCUGCUCAGCUUUAUGGAUGUCUUCUCAGGAUACAACCAAAUACCCAUAAACGAGUAGGACGAGGAGAGUACCACCUUUAUAACUAACAUGGGUUUGUUUUGUUACAGGGUGAUGCCUUUUGGCCUGAAAAAUGCAGGAGCUACCUAUCAAAGGUUAGUGAACAAGGUCUUCAAACCAUUGAUCGGUCACACUAUGGAGGUAUAUGUAGAUGAUAUGAUCACAAAGUCAAGAGAACCGAAGGAUCAUGUGAAGCACUUGGAAGAGACCUUUGAAUUGCUGAGAAGGUAUGAAAUGAAGCUGAACCCGGAGAAAUGUGCAUUUGGGGUCAGCUCGGGCAAAUUUUUGGGAUACCUGGUGAGCCAUCGAGGGAUCAAGGCCAACUCAGAAAAAAUACGGACGGUGAUAGAAAUGAGGUCCCAAUGAACAGCUAAGGAGGUGUAGAGCCUUACAGGGAAAUUGGCAGCAUUGAACCGAUUCAUUUCGCGAGCCACUAAUAAGUGCCACCCUUUCUUCCAAACCAUAAAGAAAGAGAGGAAGAUGGAAUGGACAUCAGAAUGCAAAGAGGCAUUUGGACAGCUGAAGGAAUACCUAGCCCGCGCCCCGUUACUAUCAACUCCGAGAGAGGGUGACCAGCUGCUUUUGUACUUGGCAAUCUCUAAAUGGGCUACCAGCUCGGUCUUAGUCAGGGACGAAGAAGGGAAGUAACACCCGGUAUACUACACAAGCAAGGCCCUGGUAGACGCAGAAACCAGAUAUCCACUGAUGGAGAAGUGGACGCUGGCUCUAAUAACGGCAGCACGCAAAUUCCGACCAUAUUUUCAGGCCCACCAGAUUGUUGUGAUGACUGACCAGCCCCUUCGGCAAAUGCUUCAAAAACCAGAUGCAUCUGGUCGGUUAGUAAAAUGGUCCGUGGAGCUGAGCAAAUUUGACCUAUCCUAUAGGCCCCGAAGAGCAAUCAAAGCCCAAGCCCUGGUCGAUUUUAUAGUUGACCGUGCUGAACCAGGGGAAGAAAUUCAGGAGGAACAACCAAUAGAGCAGGAGAAACCAGAGGGGGUGUGGCUGGUGAUGGUUGAUGGGCACAUAAUGAACAGGGAUCCGGAGCAAGAGUUGUAAUACGGAGCCCAAAAGGGAUCGAGGUAUCCUAUGCAGUAAAAUUCGAGUUCCAGCUUACGAAUAACCAAGCUGAAUAUGAGGCCUUCAUUACUGGGCUCGGGCUUGCACAUGCACUACGAGCUGAAAAAGUAGAAAUCCGAGCAGAUUCCCAGCUAGUCUGCAAUCAGCUCUGCAACUAAUUCCAAGUAAGGGAAGAGAAGUUGGGGCGUUAUUUGAAGAAGGUGAAGCAAAUGGUUGAACUCUUCAAAGAGAUAGAGGUAAAGCAGAUAUCCCAGAUGAGAAUUACCAAGCAGAUAUGUUGGCUAGAAUGGCUGCAAUUGUAGAUCCAAAAUUACCUAAGUCAGUUCCACUAGAGGUGAGGACCUCGCCUAGUAUAGGGGAGGAAGUAGAGGUAAUGAGAGUAAGCACUGAAGAAUCCUGGAUGGACCCGAUUCUCGCAUACAUCCGCGAUGGCAUUUUACCGGAGGACAAAAGGCAAGCAAGAAAAUUAAAAUGCCGAGCAGCGAGGUACACGCUACUCGAUGGGAUGCUCUACCGCCGAGAAUUCACCUUGCCCCUUUUGAGAUGUUUGGAUGAUGAGGAGGCAGAUUAUGUAUUAAGGGAGAUUCAUGAAGGAAUAUGUGGAAAUCACUCGGGAGCAAGAACUUUAGCCUUCAAGGCACUCCGGCAAGGAUACUUUUGGCCAACCAUGCACCAGGAUGCGAAAAGGAUGGCAAAGAAUUGUAAAAUCUACCAAAGUUUCUCAGAUAUUCCUGCACAACCCCUAGAAAAGUUUACCACUAUGACAUCCCCAUGACCUUUUGCUCAAUGGAGAAUCGACCUGAUUGGUCCGUUACCGAAGGGCCGAGGAGCAGCAACACAUGCAAUUAUAGCAAUAGACUACUUCACCAAGUGGGUAGAAGUGGGAGUCUUCAGCCAAAUCACGGAGAGAAAGACGACGGAUUUUCUUUGGAAUAAUAUCAUCUGGAGAUACGGAAUCCCUUAUACCAUCAUUACAGACAAUGAGAGGUAAUUUGACAACAACUUCAGAGAAUUUUGCCGGAACCUGGGGGUAGACCUGAAGUUCUGCACCUUGCACACCCCCAGGCAAAUGGACAAGUGGAAGCAGCCAACAAAGUAAUAAAGAAACUCCUGAAAACUAGACUGGGAGAGAAGAAGGGAGCUUGGGUCGACGAGCUGCCAGGAGUAUUGUGGGCUUACCGGACAACUCACAAAACCGCCACAGGGGAAACCCCGUUUGCUUUAGCUUUUGGUCAUGAGGCGAUUGUCCCAGCAGAAAUUGGAGUGGAAACACAUCGGACGGAAUAUUUCAAUAAGGAGCAAAACGAUGAGUAGAUCUGCUUGAGCCUGAACCUGCUGGAGGAGAAAAGGGAAGGGGCCUCGCAGAAAGUGGCCCAAUGUCAGCAAAGGGUGAUGCGUUAUUACAACAAGAACGUAUGCGUGAGGCAGUUCCGAGCAGGGGAUUGGGUGCUUAAGAAGGUGAAUCAAAACACUAGGGAUCCUAACCAUGGCGCGCUCGGCCCGAAAUGGAAAGGCCCAUACAGGGUGAUUCGGGCGACUGGACCAUGAGCUUACAAGCUAGCGUACCCAGACGGACGAGACGUGAAGAGGUCGUGGAACGCCGAGCACUUGAAGAAGUAUUUUCAGUAAGCAGAGUGCUCUACUAAGUCUUCAUUUUGACAAGUUAUUUCUAUUAAAUGCAUGAUGAAUUGUUACACAUGCAUAUAUUCUGCAUUUCUGUAAAGCAUUCAAAUUUCAAUAAAGAUGAAUUCAGCAUGAAAUCCCUCUGCUAGCAAGCCCAUUAAAUUUUACUAAGGCAAGUAAGUGUUUGUUCCUGCUCGGUCAACGAAAGACCAGCAGGCAAUUUCACGAAAUUUUACUAAGGCAAGUAAGUGUCUGUUCCUGCUCGGUCAACGAAAGACCAGCAGGCAAUUUCAUGAAAUUUUACUAAGGCAAGUAAGUGUUUGUUCCUGCUCGGUCAACGAAAGAUCAGCAGGCAAUUUCACGAAAUUUUACUAAGGCAAGUAAGUGCAUGUUCCUGCUCGGUCAACGAAAGACCAGCAUGCAAUUUCACGAAAUUUUACUAAGGCAAGUAAGUGCAUGUUCCUGCUCGGUCAACAAAAGACCAGCAGGCAAUUUCACGAAAUUCUACAAAGGCAAGCAAGUGUCUGUUCCUGCUCGGUCAACGAAAGACCAGCAGGCAAUUUCAUGAAAUUUUACUAAGGCAAGUAAGUGUCUGCUCCUGCUCGGUCAACGAAAGACCAGCAAGCAAUUUCACGAAAUUUUACUAAGGCAAGUAAGUGCCUGCUCCUGCUCGGUCAACGAAAGACCAGCAGGCAAUUUCACGAAAUUUUACUAAGGCAGGUAAGUGCCCAAUCUUGCUCGGUCAAUGAAAAACCAGCAGGCAAUUUUAUGGAAUUUUCACUAAGGCAAAUAAGUUCCUAUUCCUGCUCGGUCAACGAAAGACCAGCAAGCAAUUUUAUAAAAUUUUACUAAGGCAAGCAAGUGCCUAUUCCUACUCGGUCGCCAAAAGGACCAGCAGACAAAUCUACAAAUUUGGUUAUAGCAAACAACUAUCUAUUCCUACUCAGUCGAUUAUAGGGCUAGCAGGCAAAGCCAACUAAAAGUGUUAAGGCAAUUUGCAAAAACGAUUUAUAAGUAAAACCACAAUAGAAGAGCCAAUAGAAAGCAUUUAAAAUUUAUGCUAAAAAAUGUUUACAAAACAGAUGAAAAUUUAGAGUUUAUACAAAAAUAGAACUAAAAAUUUGGAGGGUCGACAGCUUCAGCAGUUGAAGAAUCAGCAAUCUCGGGAGGUGAAGGAUCAGCAAUCUUGGGAGGUGAAGGAUCAGCAAUCUCGGGAGGUGGAAGAUCAGCAACACCGGGAGGAGGAGGCAUGGACCCUUGACCCAUUUCAAGAGCACGACCCCCAGCUUCCCCUUCCUACACCCCAUCUACAGGAGCCUCCACCUGAUCCUGCUCACCCUGCUCCUUACCUCCAUGAUCGGCCUCAGCCAUAUAUCUCUGCACUCCAGCCUCCAGCUUGCUCAUGUCCAGCUCGGGAUAUUCUUCCUUAAGCACAGACAUGAUGCACUUAUAGCAGAAAGCAACCCCAGAGUCAUACUAUGCAUCCAGCCAAUCAUCCACAUCAACAGAUUUGCCUUUCGCCUCAGCCAACUGCUCAUUCAAGGAUUUGAUUUCUCACUCAAGGGCGGUCCUCAAAGUAUCUCUUUCACUUUGAGUAGCCUGAAGAUCAGACUUCAGGUCACCCAACUCACCCUCAAGUUUGGAAGAGGUGGACUCAGUAACCGCAACUUUCUCCUCCAGCUCCGUAAUCUACUUGUUUAGCUCAGCCAGCUUCUCCUUCGAGCGAUCAGCAGAUUCAGUUUUUUUCUUCAAAUCCUGAUUGUCAGCUUGAAGCCUCCUCUCAUGGCGCGUGGACCUGUUCUUGUAACAAGAAACUAUAGUGGCCAGCUUGAAGGAGACCCUCUGGACAGAACCAGCCAACUCACUGAGGCUCAUACUCUCGAUUUCCUUCACCAUCUUGGGCCCCACCGAUUUGCCGUAAUCCCUCUAGUACGGGCUCAGGUAGUCACCUUGAUCCCGAGAUGGAAGAGGAGCAGACCGGUCCCCGGAUUGGAUGCUGACCUCGGGACCCUUGUCGGAAGUUUUCUCCCCACCACUCUUACGAGGUGGAGGAGGAGGCAGAGCAGGAGCAGGAGCUUUGGAAGGACUGACGCUGGUUUUCUUUGGAGGAGGAGGAGGGUUACUGGAGCUGCUUGGAGCCCGAGCACAUUUUCUGCUCAUCGCGCUGAGGAUCUUGUUAUCCAUUCCGGCUGCAAUGUCCACUAAGCCCGAACCGACCAAGUUUGUUGGUGACAGGAGGUCUUGGCAAAUAGACGCGUUCACUAGAGCAGUUUCCACCUGAAGCAAAGGUUGGUCUUCAAGAUCCUUAACCAAACCCCACGAUUCUGAAAAAACAAAUAAGGUUAAAGAACCCAAUAAGUGGCAAUUUGAGAAAGAAUAUAGGCAAAAAAUGAAUGACCUGGGGUGACAAAAUGCGUUGGAAGGUAAAUAUCACCACCCAACGAGCGGGCUGCUGGACACCAAUUUCCUCCAGCAAAGAAGAAUUUGUUCUUUCAAUUUUUGCACGAGGAGGGGAAGCCAGUAAUUGGCUUCCUCUUCGCAAAGCUCGACAUGAAAUAAUACCAGCCUGCUUCCUUUGGGCUACUCCUCAGCUGGUAUAAAUGCUUCACUUCAACAAGGAAGGGCUCAUCUGAUCCACACCUCUCCCAUAAUACGAACAUAGCCGAGAGAACCCUCCACCCAUUCGGAUGUAACUGACCUGGGGCCAGGUGCAUACCCCCCAGUAUCUUGGCAAAAUAACGCUGAAGGGGCAGCCGAGCUCCUAGUCUAAAACUCUUCAGGUGCAUCGUCACAUACCCCCGCGGAGGCCGACUAGGAACAUCACCUUUCCCAGGAACUACAAGGGGAACCUCCUCAGGAAUGUUGUAAAGGUUCCUAAGCUUGAAUAGAUCAGUUUGGGUGGUGGCACAGGCUAUGUAGUCGAUAAGGUAAGAAUCCGCCUCCACCCUAUGGCCAAGGUUUCUCUUCUUAGGAGCUCGGCUCGGCUCGGAACUGCUUCUCUCACCAUCACCCACUUCUUCAGGGACCCCAACCCCAUCAGAACUGUGGUUCUCACCAGAGCCCGACGUAGGUCCCCCUCUAUUUCCUACAAGCUCUAAUUCAGGGGAAGGUGAAAUGGUCAGGGGACGUGGGUACUCAAGGGUAUCCCUGCCAUGGGAGGGGCCUACACUACUCGAGGGACGUAAAAAAUCAGUGUGUAUUGACAAGUUAAGGUGUAAAUCCUCUGUUUCUUUGUCACUCUCAUCUGCAAUCAACUUCCUUCUCCGAUUUGACAUAUCGAAGUCCCAAAAGGAAACCAAAACAAACCCGAGUAUACGAAUACAAAAAGGGGCAACAUAGAACCCAAUCAACAACAACCAAAGAAGAGGUUAAAGGCUAUACUUGGAAUAGACUGGCACUGAUAAUGUUGCUGUGAUGGAGGAAAGACCCAGUAAACGGAAAUCCCAGACGCGGAAAGUAUGAACGAAGUUCGUAGGAGUUGUCUCACGACAGAGAAGCGAAUAGUAAAACGAUGAUGAUUUCAAUCUAGGGAUUUGAAACGAAAAGGGGGAAAUGGAAGCGUUUAAGUGAUGGGCAUGCCAGCUCACUCACCUUAUAUCGAGGAUGGAUAGCCCGUCGUUUCAAAUUUCAAAUACGAAGAGUCGGGAAGCGCCACGUCACUAACUAUUAUAAAAGGCCUGACGAGACAUAGGCCCAAAUAUUUACGAGAUAUAUUCAUAAAGGCCCAUACUCGGAUAAAAAUCUCCUCAGACGAGAGAGGGAACCUCAGGUCCAUCCCAGUAAACAGAAGACCAAAUGGGAAGUUUCCCGGGCCGGUAAGAUUCGAUUAUCAGUUUCUACUCUCAACUCCUUUCACUCGCAAGACCAGAAACUGGGGGACUGGUGUUAGGUAAAUAAGAGCACCAGCUCGGCCAUGCCAUCAAUGAUACGAGCAGAACACUGAUAAUGAGCCCUCUACAAACAUGGGCCGACCAGAGACGAGUACCAGCCAGAGGAAUAUACCGACCAGAGACAUAUACCGAGCCGAUACCCAUUCCCCAAAGAGCGGGAACACGAUCCCACAGAAUCACGACAGUUGCGCUUUUCCCAAAACUGUUGAGGGAAACGCGAGAUCCCACGUUUGCCCAUAAUGUAGCAGUUAGAGUCCCAUGAAGGGCUGCCACUACCCAAAAAAGGGGGGAUGAAGGGUAAACGGAAACGUGGGACAGCGGCUAUAAAAGAGGAAGAAAUCGAUGAAGAAAGGGAUAGAAAAAUUGAGAGAAGGGAAAACUCUGUCAAAUUGAAACCAGACCAUUUUCAAUACAAAUUGUGAGCCCAUUAUAAGCAAUUUAUCGAAUCUUAAUUGUAUUGUUUUUCCGUAAACACCUUGUGCUAACUUAGGCAUCGGAGGGUUUACGCCGGCAAAACCACCGGCGUCUCUGAUCCACUUUUGUGAAUGCAGGCUUAGUGGGAGAAGGAAGGAUAAUUCUAACUUCGAUGACUAGAGCAAUCGUCGAAGUAAGAAGAAAUUGACAUCCUCACUGUUGAUAAUAUAAACGUUGGUGUAAAGAUCUGGUCGAACAAAAGACGAGCAGAUUUCAGCAUCAACACCAUGUUUAAAAAAUAAUAAAAAAUUAGAUUAACACUACUGUAGCAACGUUUUUCUAAACAGUGCAGCCAGCCCAAAACCUGCUCCCAGAAUAUAUUUUAAUGCUGGUCUAACUACAUCAGCAAACAUUGCAACUAAAACUUGUAGCUAAAUAUGGGAUAACAAAAUUCUGAUAAGGAACAGUAUUUUAAUGCAGGCUGCCAAACGAUCUUCUUCUUCUUAAUAAUAGAUAAACUUACUAAGCUUGCGAAAGGUUCUGAUUUCGAAGUUAAUCAUCUUCUUCUUAAACAAACUAAGCAGACCCAUCAGCUUCUUAUUUACUUCAUUUACCAAAAAGGAAAAAUUAUACCUAAUAAAUCCCAAAUUGUAAUAAAAAAAUUUAUUUUCAAUGCUGAUUGAAAAAAAAAAAAUCCUUCUUUUACAGUCAGGGCAUGCAAACUAAUUGUGAAAAUAAAAGAGAAAGGACCAAGCUAAAACUUACAGGUUGAAGCGUGUAUCGCAGGGAGCCACUUAAUUGAACUCCAAUGAAGUGUUUGAAUGAAAGAAGGAAAAUAUAUUUCUUCUGUGUAAAAGCAAUCAGGCAAUUUCGGAGCUCAGUGUUCUGCUGUAUGUCUUCAGAAGUCCUAUUUCCAAAAGCCAAAAGCCUUGGUCAAAACUAACUUUCAAAGGUUUUGCCCCCACGAAAUUUCCUUGAAGCUACAAGAAAUGUUUUAUUUUUUUUUAAUACGCGUGUUGAAAAGCGGGAAAACACUCUUUUUGUCACUUUUAUCUUUUUUUUGUUCUUUUUUCCUUCCCACCCCCCGCCCCCCUCCAGCUACGGUGGCGCUAUUUAUUAGAUGUAGGUGUCCAGUUGUUUUCACAAUUAUUUUAUGUGACAUCAUUUUCUUAAUAUUUUUAGAUUGCGGUAAUACCUAGUUGGGGACAGAAAUGUGAAGGUUGGACAUGUGGCAAUCUUUGACUAAACAAGCCAGUCGGGAUAAAUAAAAUAAUAUUUGAAACGCUUUUUUCAACUUUUUAUUUUCAAUUCAAAACCGAAAUGUCAAAAAAUUGAAACCACAGGUUAUCAGCAAAAAGUAAAACUAAGACAAAAAAUAAAAUAAGACCAAAAAUAAAAAUUUCUCAAAUUUAUGAGUAAUUAUAUGUAAUGGGGUAAUGCUAGACACACCAUUAGAAUAAGGCUAACGCUACGUUACGUUAAACGUAAGAUACAUUCCACAAAGAUAAUAUCAAUAAGUGCCCCUAAUUAUUAUGGAAACUACAUUAUUUGAAUUAAAAGAAAUACUUUUAAAUCUCAAAGAAGAAAUGAAAGAAAUCAAACAAGAAAUAGGAAAGAUAAAAAUAGAAUUGUCUGUAAUUCAAUUAAGCCAAAAGAAAAAUAAAAGAGUGGAAAAAUUUGAAAUACUAAAAUCUGGAAUAAUUGGAACAAGCCUUAAAAAACCCAUACAAAAACCUCAACCAGGCAGCUACGAUGACUGGUUUGUAAAGACUCAAUACCCAAAAAUAUUAGAAGAAACAGAAAAAUUAAAAGCAGAAUUAAAAAUUGAAGAAAAAGGAAAAGAAAAACUAGAAAUAAAAGAAACAUCACUUAGCGAUACUGAUUAAUGGAUGAAAUACUAGAAGAAGUAACUGAAAAAUUCAGUGACAUAAAUCUAAGUGAUUUGGAAGAAUUUGAAAGAGAAUAUUGUGUAAAAAUGAAUACUGCUGGAGGACCAGAAAUGAAACCUAAUGUAGCAGAGCCAAGCCAUAGAUAUGAAAUACAAAAGAAGAAAAGACCAUUUUUUGAAUAUAAUCAAAUAGACAAUCCUUACAUGGAAGAAGAGGAAAAACCCCUAAAUCCAAAAGAAGAAGAAUAUAAACAAUUUUCUACAUGGAUAUAUUCCACUUGUUCUCAUAAUAAUACAAUAUUUAGAGCACCUGGAAAAAAUAUGUACCCCAGGAUGAUUGUUACAAAAGGAGCAGACCCACUCCUUGUUGGGAAAAUAGCAAAAUAUGGCUAUUUAGACUUAGUAUAUCCUAGUGUAGAUCUUCGAGAAAUAGCCAGCUUUGAUGAGUUACUAAUAAAAGAAGUCUCAAGGUUUGCCCAAAAAAGACCCAUAUAUUUAAAGUUUUAUACUAUAAGUCCAGAAUACCAUCAGAAUAUAGAAUACCAAGCAUUCUACAUGAUUUCUGUAGGUCAUAUUACAAAAAAUUUUAAAGUCGAAGUAGGAACAGAAUAUACAAAUGUUCCUCACAUAAAUGAAACCUGGAUCAGAACACGGAGAGCCAGAGGAAUAAAGGCUAUAUGGAGCAUAGCAAAGGAUUUAUAUAAGAGAAAUUUCAGAUCCAUCAUUAAAUUUCAAAAUUACAUCCUUAUAACUUCUGAGGAUGGACAUACACCUUCAAAUCUGUUACUAGAGUUCAUCAAUGAAAUAAGUACUAUGCGUUUCCCUAGUAGCAGCAAAACCACAGAACAAGCUUAUCAACUCAUGGAUAUAAAGCAGUGAUUGACAGGCUAUGGCCGACAGCAUAAAACAAAGAAAAGAUAAAGAUAUGGUGGACAAGAUAAAAGGUGAUGUCUGACAAAAGGAUACGAAGCAUGAAGAUAAAGAUUCGAAGAUAAGGCAUAUGGAAAAGCAACAACAAGACAAGAUAAAGUGGCUUGACAAGAUACGAAGCAUGAUAGACAAGAUAAGGAGCAUGAUAAAUCUACAGGAAGAUGCUUGAUAAUGAUGUAAAAGCACAAUAAUACAAGGACAAAAAUGUAACUUGCUUGAUAAUAAUGUAAGAGCCCAAUAAUACAAGGGCAAAAAGGUAAACAUAAACCCGAGACGACUUGAAUAUAAAUAAAGAGCAAUAAUCUCUAAGGGAUUAUUCAACCAUUUUUACAAUAAUUCCAUUGUCUUCUAUGAUCAUGAAUAGCUAAUUCUCUCAGCUCAGAAUCCUAAAUCGAUACAUCAUUAAUAAAAAACAAAAAAUCACCAUAGAAAGGAAAGAGAAACCUAAAUUUAUUCAACAUUUCUAAGCUCAACGAUCGCAUUCCAUACAGUAAGGCCACUCGAGUCCGCCGAUCCCGUUGAGGCAAGGAGGCCGUUGAGGGAGUAAGGACAGUAAGGCUGCAGGUCACUGGAGAAAGAUCGGAAGGCAAAGAAACAAGAAUAGCUUGGGUAAUAAUUCUCAAACCUUAUCUGUUGGUGGAAGUUUGUUGAUUAUUAUUGAUGAGGAGAUUUAUGGAGGAAGAGCUAAUUUCUUUGAAGUGAAAUAUUUUAAUGAACAACAAUAUCAUAUUAGGAAAUUCUAAGGAAUACAUGAUAAAUCCAACAACUAGAAUAACAUAUAAUGAUUAUACAAUGAUUAUAGAUUUCAAUUUAGGAUCUUUCAAACAAAGUUCUUAUCUUUUAAAUAAAGACGAACUUGUUAGAACUGAAGAACUACAAGCAGUAUAUGCUCUUGAAUUACCAAAGGAAAUAAAAAGAAAAAUAAUAAAUCAUGUAGAAAUAGAUACUUUAAAGCAUAACAUCAUCAUGCUAACUAUAGAACAAGGAAUUGACAUAGCUCUGGCAUAUACAGAACAUGAAAAUAGAGAAGCUGGACCAUCAUACAUAAACUACUUAGAAAAUUCUGAUAAUGAAGAACUUGAAUUAUAUGGUAUAUAGGCAAGCAACCCAUGACGUAAAUUGGAUAGACGAUCCCGAAUGGGCGUUAGUAUCCUCUGUACUUUGGGAUAACAAGCCACGUACCUAUAAUCAGUAUAGUUUAUAAUCAUGGAAAUUUAUAAUGAAACCAGAUAUUACACUAGUAUAAUAAAUAAUUUUAUAUAUUUUAUAAAAGUAGAAAUAUUCUAUUCAGAAAAUGUAACAGAAAGUUUAAAUAAUCAAACUUUAAAUCCUACAUAUAUUUUGGAAACUAAUAGUAGCUAUUACGACUUAUAUGUUCCCAUUCUUCCUAAUACAUUUCCUAGAACAAUUGAUGGAGAACAAGUUAUAGCUGUAUUUUUAAGAAAUAAUAAUAAUACAGGAUAUGAUAGAUAUGUGCUAUAAAUAAUAAAAACCUUUACAAAAAAAAAAAAUUUAUCUGUUUUUAGUAGUUUAAUUUUUAUCAUUUUUUCAGUUUAUUCAAUUUAUUUCAGUAUAAUUUUUAGUUUCACCGAAACAAAUGGUAUCAGAGCCAAAGUUCUGAAAUAAAAUUCUCACAAAAAACUUAAUAAUAAUUUAUUAAUGGACCCGAUACAAACAAUAGUUAAUAGCUUAUACACUUUAAAGGUAUAUAAUAAAGAAGAAAUAAAAAAUCUCAUUAUGGCUUUAAAAAUUGAUAAAAAUAAUAUUAGAAAUAUAGAACUCGAACUAACAGAAGAACUUAGAGAACGACAUAUAGACACAACAGGAGGAGAGAUAUUAAUAGAAAAGAAAAUGAAAUUUAUAGAUGAAUUUAUAAAAUUUCUAGUAUACUGGUAUAAAAAAGAAACAAUAUGAACCAUAAUCAACAUGCAUUUAAUAUAAUACAUGGAUUAGUAGAUAGUAUAGAUCAUAUGAUUUUAGGAUGGGAAAAUACAUUAAAUACAUAUAUAACUUUAAUAACUCAGAAAAUAGAUUUACUAGAACAAGAAAGAAUAGGAAUAAUAAAUUUAGGACCAGAAAUUUAUUCUGAAAUUAUAGAUCUAUAUGAAUUUGAUAACCAUUUAAUGUUAUUUAAAGAGGUAAUCAAAACCUUAGAAAAAAUAAGAAAUAGAUGUAGAAGGGAUGGAAGAAGACAAAUACAUCUAUAAUUAAUAAAUAGAAGGACCCAAGAAAAAUUAACCAGAAAAAGAAAAAGACAAAAAACGUAAGAUACAUUGAUCGUAACUUAGGUACUCCCUUAGAAUAAACUUAUCCUGUAACUAAAAAGAAAAAAAAGGCGGCGGUUAAAAAUUAAAAUAAAUAAAAGAACUAAAGAAGGAGCUGUAAACAGGAAAACAUAUACACACGUGUGAGUGAGAGAAGCUACCAAAACCUGACCCGAAACCCGACCCAAACCCGCAAGCCCGACCCGGCCAUAUCUCCAAUUUCCGGCCACCUCAUCGGCCGAGCAACGUACCAACCUGAAGCUUGAAGACCAUCAUACCCCAUCUGUCCUCGUCGCCGGAAAAUGGUUAGAACGCCGGCGAUCAAGCUCGAUAAGCGGCGGUAAAAUCCACCCCUUCUCGCCGUCGAUUCCGCCAGUUUUGGGUGACGUCACCGCCUGGAUCUUGAUCCUCAGAUCAUUCCCAUCAUUUUCCGACCAACCCCGCCACCUGAAACCGCCGUUUUGGCAGCGAACGACCGCCGGAAAGCUUGCGGCUUGGGAAACUCGAUCCGCCGCUUUUGCCGCGCGUGCAAGCUCACUGCCGGCACCAUUAGGCUCAGCGUGGCCGAACCUUUCAGGCUUGAGCUUCCCGGCUACUGUUGACUGAAUUUCGGUCACUGAUGACCGGUGAGGGCAAUCUCGUAAUUUUAUAUUUUGAGGGCGAUUUUGUAAUUUCGGAUCAUGUGGAGAUUUUACUUAUUCCGAAAAAUUAAGGAUUCGUUGUAAUUAGGAUUUUGAGGGUAAUUUGGUAAUUUUUAAUUCGGGAGUAUUUUAAUAAUGUACAAACUCAAGGGUAUUUUAGUAAGUUUUUUGGCACAAGAGUUAUAAAUUAUGGAUUGAUAUUGGUUUUGAGUUUAUUGCAUAAAUUUGGUCCUAAUUUCGAUUAAUGAAAAAAUAAUUAUGUCAUUUCCUUAAUUUAGGAGGAUCCACAAGCUAAUCAAUCCGUAGACGUGAGCGAUAAUUGAGUCUGAGCAUCGUCACUAUGAGUGAAAUAUACAAAACCUAUUUUUAUAGUUAAUUAUGAUAGUGAAACAUGUUCGUGAAAUGAGAAAUUUAAAUGUCUUGAUUCAAUAAAUUUCUCGAAAUGGAUUUAAGUUACGCAUUAAUAUUUUAUUAAAAUGUUUUGGAUUAUGAUUUUCCAUAUCGACUUUGGAAAAAAUAUUAUAAGUGUUUUAUAGACAAGAAAAGUGAUUUGGAUGUGAUAUAAAAAGAAAAUAGAUUUAAAGUAUGUUAAAUAGAAAGGAAAUGAGAUUUAUAGUAUGAUUUUAUGUUCAUGUAUAUGUGUAUAAAAUGUUGAUUGUAAAAUUAUUGGACAGUACCAUUCUUUGGUUGCAAUGAUACAGAUAUGAUGAGGCUUUUGGAGCCCGUUUAAAAACACAUAAAGGCUUUUGGCCGUGUGUUUGGGUGUUUCUGCCUUUUGAGGGCAUAUAUAUGUGAUAUGAUGAUAAUAGUGAUAUAGAUACAAAUAAUAAAGAUGAGAUACAAGCUUUUACAGGCUCGUCUAAGUACACACAGAAGCUUUGGCCCGUGUGCUUAGGCUCUUUUGUCAUUUAAGAACUAGAUUAUGCAUGCACAAAUAUGAUGAUAUGUGAGAUGACACUUUUAUGUCUAUCUGUGUAGCUCUGGGGCAUAACCGUACCUAGAUAAUACAUCAAUACCCAUCUGUUGAGGUCUGGAUACGGUGAGAUUAUUUCUUUGGGUACUUAUUUAAUGAUAAUUUUAAAUUUGUGUAUUUUAUAUGAUAUUGUAAUAUAAUUUCCAUGGUUAUUAUGUACGAUAUUACAUAUGUUCUUCAAGGUUAAUAAUCUGAUUUAAAUGUUAAAUGAUUUAUAAAUAUUUUCUCGUAUAUGGUUUGAUGAAAUCGAAUUUAAAAAUGAUAUGAUUAAAUUAUUUUUAAGUUAAAUUAAUUUUCAAAAAUCAUUAUCCACUGACCUCAUUGAGUUUUAUAUUCAUCAUGUUUUUAUUAUAUUUUUCCCCUCAAAAGGAGAUUGUAGGUACACCAAAUCAACCUAGGGACUGUAGAUAUUUUGAAUUUUGGGCACAUGAUAGUGUUACAAGAUAUAGAUGAUUUUUAUUAGGACAUCCUGAUCAUUUCAUUUUUCUUUUUUUGCGAUUGUAUAAUUUUAUUGUAUUAUUCUUUUGGGAUUAAGAAUAAACUAAUGUAUAUUAAUAUUGGUUAUAAUAAAUACGAAUACAAUAUUAAAAUAAAAAUACUAACUAAAAUAGCACAUUAAUACAAAUAAGAUAUUAAAAUAAAUAUAAUUAAAAAAACAAAAUAUAUAUGUCAUGCAAAUUAUUUUAAUAUUAAAGCCAUUAUCAACAUGUCUCAAUAGAUUUUAUUAAAACUUAAAUUUGUUAAUCCAAAAAUUUAUUUUUUAUUUAUUCUAUUAUAGACAUAACUCAAAAAAAGUAAUAUAUAUAAUAUAAUAUAAAUAUCGAUUUUAUAAAUUAUUUUGAACGUUAAAUACAUUUAUUUUAUAUUAUUAAUCUAUGAAACCAAUUUUAUUAAUAUUAAACAAAUCUAACAAAUUAGUAAUAUCAAAAAAAAUAUUGUUUAAUAUUAAAAUAAUUUAUAAUAUUUAUAAUAUUUUAUUUAAUGAACUAUUUAAUAUUAUAUUUCUAUGUGUUAUAAAAAUUUAUUUAAAGUCAAUUUCUAUGUUGUUGUAAUCUAAGAAUAUAAUCUUUAGAAAGGGGUAUGUGUGAUCAUUUGUGAGAGCAAGACGACCUAUGUUAUAUUUUAAAUAAAUCUUGGAGGCAUGGGUGCAUUUUUUCCUAAAGAAAAUAAAGACUUUAAAAAAACUUAACUUGAUUAAAGGACCCAGGGUUUAGAAUUCGUAAUAGCUAGCAUGAACAAAUAUCGUAUUCGGGGCAUCAAUCUUUGUUAUUAUUAUUAUUAUUAUUAUCACCAUCAUCAUCAUUAUUAUUAACAAUUACACAAAUAAGAAUAAUAACAAUAACAAUUAUAUAAUAAUAUUUUAAUUGAAGACAAAAACAAAAUUAUGAAGUUUAAGUGGGGUAAAAUUUGGAGCUCAUAGGAAUAAGAACUUGACUCCCAAAGGUCCAUAAGAAUCAAUUCUCAUUCAUUAAUCCUAGAAACGUAUCGGCCCCCCACAUUUUAUUUUCGUUCCUUUUUCUAUUUUUAAAAAUAAACAUUAUCGAUCAUUCUCAUUUUGAAUUUUAAUUUCAGAAUCUAACUAGUAAGCACAUCAUUAAUGUAUCACACGAGAGUAAUAAGAGUAGUAAUAGGCCGGCGAAGACAACGGUUAGGAAAAUAACUACAGCAAAGCGGUGGAAACAAAGUGUUCCAUGCAAGUACGGGUUCGGAAUUAGAUUUGUCUAGGAGUGUAAAAAAUAAUUAAAUUGAAUAACUGAGUUACGUAAGACAAACAUUCAUGUAAACUUCUAAAACAAAUGCUAGAAUACAAAACUGCGAGGAAACUUACCGCUCUGAGCGCGUGGGAGGCACUGAAAGAUGAUGAAAUUUUACUUAGAUUACAAUUAGGACAGUGUUUAUUUUUUAGAGUGGGAGUGAGGAGUGUGGAUUCCUCCCACUUUAGUGUUGACUUCAACAAAAUAGAGAAGGAUUGGGAAUCCCACUCCGUGGGCUCCACUCAUUUUUGGAGUGGGGAGUGGGAGUGGGACUCCCACCUCUCCCUUUUCUAUUUUUUUUUAAAUUUAAUUUCAUAAAAUAAAAUAAUUUAUAAUUAUAUUUAUUUAAAUAAUAUUAUUAUAUUUAACUAAAUAAUAAUUUACAUUGAUUAUAAGUUAAAAUUACUUUAAAAUAAUAUUAUUAUAUUAAUAGAGAAUUAAUAAAUAUAUGCUAUCUUUAUUUAAUAAUAUAAUAUUAUUAUAUUUAUUUUAAAAAUAACAGUACUAUAUUUAUUUAAUAUUAAUAAUUAAUAAUAAUAAACAGUUUAUUCUAAGAAAAUAUUAAUUUUGUACUAAAUAAUAUUAUAUUAAUAAAUUUAAUAUAAAUAUAUAAAAUAAAAUAAUGUUUCAUUUUAUAUUUACCCUUCUUUUUAUUAAAUUUACUACAACUAUAUUUAAUAAAUAUUUAAAUAAUAUUAUUAUAUUUAACUAAAUAAUAAUUGUGUUUGAUUCUAAGUUUAAUUUACUUAAAAAUAAUAUUAUUAUAUUAAUAGAGAAUUAAUCAUAUUACUAUAUACAAUCUUUAUUUGAAAAUAUAAUAUUAUUAUAUUUAUUUAAAAAUAAUAGUAUUAUAUUUAUUUAAUAUUAAUAAUUAAUACUAAUAAAUAGUUUAUUCUAAGAAAAUAUUAAUUUCAUACUAUGUUAAUAGUAAAAAUAUUUCAUUUAUAUUGCCCUUAUCAACAAUUUUUAAUUUAUAUAAUUAAAAUAAAAAAAAUUGUGAUGUUCAUAAUUAAGAAUAUUAAUAAUUAUUAUAAAUUUACAAAUAUAAUAAAAUAAAUGUUUAUUCAUUAAAUAUAUUUUUUAUUAACUUUGUGAUUAAAAACUAUAAUUCUUUACAUAAGGAUAAAAUUGUAAUUUGAAAUUAUUUACUCCCAAUUCAAGACAAAGUAAACACAUAAAUUAGAUUCUGAUCUCUAUUCCAUGCUUCUAUUCAUGUGCAAGUAAAUAACCUACUCCCACUCCCACUCUACACUCCCAAUCUUAAAAUUCUCACUGCUCAAGAUUCCCACUCUAAUUCAAAAAGUAAACGCAGCCUGUGUUUCUUUCAAAGAAAUCAGUUAGAGGAUUUCAUGUUUUCUAAUUAAUUCUUCUUCUUUUGUUGGCCGACAGCAAGUCUUGUCAGCGAUAUUUGCAAGAGAUAAUUAUAAAGGACGGCGAAUGGAAUAAAAGACAUGUUCAACUGUAACAAAUGCUUCGAUAACGUAGAGUCCUAGACACCUAAAGCAAUUGCAUUAUCUCUAAUUAUUUAAAUAAUAAUAAUUUAGACUACUUAAUGAAACAAGACAUAGAAGAUACAUGGUAUGAACCAACCUCUCCACUGAUCAUCUAUUUUGUCUUCUUUUUCUCUUCUUUUUCUCUUCUUCAAGUUCUUUUAGUACGUGACGCGGCAUUUUAUUUUGUUUAUUCAGUGUCGAUAAAACUGUGUCGGAGCAUCUUCCAAGAAAUUAUAUAUGAAACAUAAAUUAUAAGUAAGUACAGUAAUAUUAUAUUCAUAAAUUAUGUCUACAAAUAGAAAGUAAAUUAACAUAACAUCAAUGAAAUAAUAAACAUAUAAAUAAUAAUGAUAGAUAAAAAAAAAUGUGAUAUGAGCCUAAUUAGAUAAAUCAGUAAUGCCUUAAUAAACAAUAGUAUAGUUUAUGGUAAGGCUAGCCUUUUGAAGAGAUGAAAAUCCGCCAAACAUCGUUUCCUCAAAAAAUAGGAACUUUUAAAACCAUAUGCAUAUGAAAAUUUAUCAAAAAUAAACUUUAUUAUACACUAAUUGUUCCGUGCCAUUUUCCUGAAUACUUUUUGUAUAUUUUAGAAACACAUACCUAAACAAUCUGAUCAAGCAUGAAAUCAUUUUCGAUUCAUGGAAGACAACAACUUUGGGGAUGAUAUUUUGCUCUUGUGGUAAUUGAAGAUGCAUACUUACUGAAAUAUUCAGAGAAUAGUAAGUAGGCUUCUCCUUUUGUAUGAGUUCACUCAAUGAAUCUUUGAGGUUGUGGUUCCUCAUCACCUCAACAUAUGCAGUAAGGCUUCGCCUUGAUGUUGUUGCUACAACCAGUGGCGGACUCAGAAACUAAAAUGAGGGGGGGCUUAGUUUAAAA